GGGAUGGGAUUUUAUAUCCCGAAACCGAACCGAAUAUGUGCAUUUCCCGAAAUUCGGGAUUCCCGAAAGUGUUUCGGGAUUUUCGGGUAACUUCGGGAUUGGGCCUUGAAGAACUGGCGAUGAUGGUCCGUAUAGUGCAUCACAGAUUCUGAAAACGAAGAAAAACAAGAAGAUGAUUAGGACUGCUCGAAAUUGAUUCUCUCUCAUUCUCUCUCUCUCUCUUACACACUCCCACUCUCUCUCUGUGUGAGAAUUGUUGUGCUAAUCAGUGAAGAAAUCUCUCGAGGCAUAGAGAUGAAGCGUUGCAUGCAACUGGGAAAGCUUCUGGGCCUACUAACUACUAAUCUUAGUUAGCUUGCUACCUGAAUCAUCUCCUACAUAAACACAUAAAAUGGGGUUUCCUACUAAUUUGGGGUCCUCUGUUGAAGGAAGAAGGAUCAAAUACACAUGAAAAGUUCCCUAAUUCGAAACCCUCACACAUUCGACAAAAUACUCACUCAGAAAUCAAGUUAAUAAAAAAUCAGGAACCCUAACCUGGAUUUUGGGACUCGAUUGGUGUCGGAUUCGAGUGUAUGAGUGUGAGUCGAUGGAGAAGCGGCGUGAGUCAAUGGACGACGACGACCGGCAUGGAUUCGACGGAGGAGUGGAGCGGGGGGACUGUGAGAGUAACUGUGAGGGUGAGUGAGCCAGUGAGGUGAGAGAGUGAGAGCGACUGAGAUAGUCUAAUAACCUAACAAACAAAUGACCUAACUAUGGACGGUUGGAUUAGAUUUUAACAAAUCCAACGGUUCAAGUAAUUUCUAAUUAAAAAUUAAAAAUAAAUAAAUAUAUAUAUAUAUAUAUAUAUAUAUAUUAUUCGGUUCGGUUCGGGAUUCCCGAAAGCUUUCAAAGUUGUGGCCGAAUUCCAAACCGAAACUUUUGGGUCGGGAUCCGUUUCGGGUACCGAAUGUUUCGGGAAUUUUUCGGUCUAAUUUCGGGACGGGAUCGGGACGGUUCGGGAUUUUCGGGAAAAAAUUCCACCCCUAAGCAUUCGAAUGUCCACAAGGGAUUUACACGUAGGAUUUCCAUUUAGCCCGUCAGGGACAUCUUUGUAAUUUUUCAAGGUUGGAAAAUGAAAUAAUAUUAAGUUCGGGACAGGAGUUAAUAUUUUUUUUUUCUUCUACUUUUUCUCUCUCUCUCUCUCUCUCUCUCUCUCUCUUUUUUCCUCGUAUUCCUUUUCUCCUUCUCCUUUCUUCUUUCACCUCAUUAAAAAGAAAAUUUUCCUAAUCAAUUAAAGUCGUGAUAGUGAUUUAUCGUCGGUUUGGGAUUUGGGUUUGCGAAAAAUGAUGAUGAGGACGACGUCAUACCAGAUCCAAACGACGGUGAUAUGUGGCUCAUGACAGGAUAUACUAAUUUUUCUUAGAUCAGGAGAAUUCUACGCUAAAAUUCUUGCUCGACCACUGAAUCCUUGGGACAUUUUUAUUAAAAUUAUCUAUUGAACCUACACUUUGGCAAUUAUCAUAUAAAAUUGUUGAGGGUAUAUUCUCUUUUUUUAUUUUGUGCAGCCUAGGAAGCAAAAUAAUACAGCUUCUCAUAAGAUUAGGAUGUUUAGAGUAGGGGUAGGUAUGGGUUGAUUUGGGUCGGUUUUGGGACAAAACCAAAACCAAACCGACAAGGUCGGUUUUGCAAAAUUGCAAAACAAAACAGACCAAAUUGGGUCUAAAACUGAUCAAGUCGGUUAACCGAAUGUGGUGGGUUGGUUUCGAUUGGUUCUCGUUUUGUGUGAAGACGAAAACACAUAAUAAAUUUAUCUUCCAAAAGCUACAAAACAUAACACCAAUAUGGGUGAUUACUCAAAGGAAAGCACAAAUGAAGCAGCCCAAGGAGAGCACCAAAGUAGCCACUGAUGCAUUCUCCAAAUGGUGCCCAUGUUCUUCUCCAAAGGGACCCUUAAACUAAUCAGGUUUGUUUUCAAGUGGUGGAAACACGGUAACUGGUAAAUAACUAACAAUUUAUAUUACUACAUGUAUUAAUUAUGAUUAAAAAAUAAAAUUAAAGAUAUGCGGGUCGGUUCGGUUAACCGUACCCUAACAAUUUUGGGAACCGAUUAGGGUAAGUGCAGUUCGGGCGGUUCAAUUGGUUUUUUUUUUUUCUUAAAACGCCCUAGUUUAGAGUAAUUCAUGUGAAACUUAAAUUGUUGACGAAACUUGUAGUACAAGAUUAGAAACAUGUCAAUAACAACGCGUUUUGCUUUCCUCUCACAACAAAGAUAAGUUCUCAGGGAGAGGUAAGAUCUUUUCCUCUUGUUAAAAAGAGAAACUUGCAGGUAACGAGUUGCAUAUACGCUCACUAGAAAUAUAUAUAAGAGCAUGUCCUUUAUGCAAAGGGAUCCCUAAUUUUUUUCAAAAAAUAGGGAUUAGGUGUGGGACCCACUCCACAUCGAACUUCAACGAUCCGAACCGUCUAUUUUGUAAGUCUCGAUUCAUAGACCAUCCUUACAAAAAUUCAAUUCAAUAUGAAAUCAUUUUAUCAAGAUAAAAUUUCAUUGUUUCUUAUAUGACAAAGUAUUCCUUUAAAAAAAAAAAGUAUUCGUUAAUUUUUUUGAACCUAAUUAGAUGCCUUAGAUAUUUCCGAUUUUACUCAUAUUUUGUAAGGAUGAUCUAUAAAAUACAAUUUAAAAAAUAAAUUGUUCGGAUCGUUAAAAUUCGAUGCGGUGUAGAUCCCACAACUAAUCCUCCUCUUCAUAAAAAAAAUAGAAAUCCUUUUCCUUAAAGGUUUCCAAUAUAAGAGAACGUAAGAGUCAUUCUUCCUUCGUCACAUGAUCACUUAUACACAUAUAAAGACAAGAAUAAAAAUGUAUAUACGUGAUUACAUGCAAGUUAUUUAAUUACAUAUUAGUGCGUUGUAAAUUUGAAAGGAGUAGACCGUUAAGCCAAUUAAUUCGAUAAUUCUGAGUGAACAGCCAAGAGAGAAACCAUGCAUUCUUACCUGGUGUGCGAAAAACAAUAAUUAACAAUGCUAAUUAGUGUUAUGAUUUGAUUAAGUCUUCUGUUAACGCAGCCUAUUAAUUAAUAUAUCCAAUUUUGGUAGUCAAAAAUGCAAUUUUAUAUAGUUAUGCUCUGCAUUAAGUCUUCCUAUCCAGUCGGAAGAUCUAAGACUUGACUAUGCCAUACACAGUCGCGCACACAGUUUCUUUUAAUUAAGGUGAAGAUGAUGUUUGAUUCCUCAUUUCUAAAUGGUCAAAUCUCAUUCUGUGGAACGACAGCUACAUCCAAUUGAUGGAUAUCAAAUGACGGCUGCAAUUUUAUCAUGAGUAGUUGAUAUUUUAUGGAAAAUGCAUAUGGAAUUUAACAUUUUCCAUAUGAAUUAGAUUUUAAGAGCAAAUAAUGAAACCCUUUUGUUCCAUUCAAUCGAACUUAAUACGUCUCAUUUACAAGUAAAAAUAAAUAUCAUUAAACUAUAAUAGCCGUUUCAAUUUUAAUUUUGAAGUUUCAUUUUUGUGGUAUUGAUGGAAGGAAAGUGUACAUUAGAGAAAAUAUAAAUAAAAAAGGGUGGAGGGAAAGUGAGUGAUUGGAGGGGAGGGCAUUAGGGAGAAAUGGAGCAACACAACACAAAAAUAUGAGAUCAAAUUUCUGUAAAUUCUUUAUUUCAAUGAAUCAUUUUGUAUGUAAAAUUAUUCACAUCAUCAUAUAAUUAUUUACAAUUUUAAUCAAUAACAUAAAACCUCUAAAUAAAUAAAUAAACUAAAAUUCCGAAAUAAAUUUUGAACCCCAGAAAAAAAAAAAAAAAUCAGCGAGGGGCAAACGAAACAGAGAUGUCAAUAGGCACGCUCAUCUUCUCCGCCCAACCAUGCGACUCCAAAAACAGCUUCGAAACCAAACCCGCAACCGGACCCAUAUCGGGCCGCCUAUCCGGAUCCUCCUCCAUACACUCCAACGCCACCAAUACCAUCUGCUCUGCCACAUCCAUCGGAAACGAAUCCUUUAGCCUCCCAUCCACCCACCUCCGCACCCCGCCACAUCCCCCACUCAACGCCUCCCUCGCCGACUCGAUCAAACUCACCCUCCUAUACCCGCCGCCCCCGCCAUUUCCGUCCAUUAUGUACUUCAACGGCUCCUCCCCGGAGAUUAGCUCCAAGAGCACCACCCCAAAAGCGUAGACGUCGCACUUCUGGGUCACGAUUCCGGUGAGCUGAAACUCCGGCGCCAUGUACCCGCGCGUGCCCUCCAUUCUGGUCGACCGAGCCUGGGUCUCGCCGCAGAGCUCUGCCGUACCGAAGUGGCAGAUUUUGGCGCCGAGCACGAGGUGGUCCUGCUCGGAGACGAUGAUGCUGGAGCUCUUGAUGUGGUUGUGGACGAAGGUAGAGUCGAGGCCGGAGCAGUGGUGGAUGUAAUCGAGGCCGUGGGCGAGGUCGGUAGCGAUCUGCAUCCGGGAGAGCCACGACGACAGGACGGUGUAGCUCGGGUUCUUCGGGUUGCGGAGGCAGUCAGCGAGGUUGGCGCCGGCGACGAAUUCGUAGACGAGGUAGACGGAGCUGCCAGAGAGGGAGGCGCCGAGGAGCUUGAUGAGGCUGGAGUGGUGGGAUUUAGAGAUGAGGGAGAGGCGGUGGUGGAGGUCGGGGAGGGAGAGGGGGAGGCGGGACUUGCGCUGGAAGACGACGGCGUCUUCGGAGCGGAUGGAGCAGCGCCAGGAGGAGGAGGUGGAGGAGGAGGAGAGGCGGCGGUGGGGGAGGAAGUUGGAGGUGGCGGAGCGGAUCUCGGAGAGGUCGUAGAUUUGGGGAUUUUGAGGGAGGGAGGAUUUAAGGGAUUUGAGGGAGGCGACGGAGGAGGAGGUGGAGGAUUUGGAGAAGUUAUAGCUGGAGUUGUCGAUGCUGGUGCUGAAAAUGGCGGAGCAGGGGUCGGGGAAUGAUGAGGAGGAGGAUUUUCGGUGUUUGAUGGGGCUCUUGGGCUCAAUCGCCUGCGCGCUCUUUUUGGUCCUGAACAUAGGGACGGCGGUGCAGGGGGCGGCGGGGGGCGGCGUUGAUCAUAGCAGAAUUGGGAAUGGAAGAAGAAAUGGAGUUGUGUAUUUUUUUCGCCUUCCUUUGUUUUUUUCUUUUUUUUUGUAUGGUGUUUAAAAAUAUAGGGGGAGAAAGUCGUUCCCACGGAGCACAUAAGUUAAGACCACGGAGCACAUAAAAUUCAUCCGUAUUCUACACGAUACGUUUUGCGUUGGAUUUUUAAUGUUGAUGAAUUAUAGAUGAUGGUCAUGAAUUAUAGAUGACGGCCAUAAGAUUUAAAUACUUCUGUAAAUCUUUUUUAUCUAAAAAAAAAUCGGUAUUUUUUUAAUUAAAAUAAAAAUAUAUCAAUUAUUUAAUAUUUAGUAGCAAAAUUUUCUGUUAGAACCCAACGAGAACCUUUUGCUUAUUCUUUCGUAAAGGCUGAAUUACAGUUGAUAAAAUACUAAUACUUUCUUCUGAGAUGGACUAAACCACAUAAUAAAUCAAUCAUAAUAAACUUGUACAAAUGUUUGCUCAACUACUUAUAUUUUUAAGUUGAGAUCAACAUUAAAAGAUGAUACUGUCUAUCUAUUUGUACGCUAUUCAAGCAGCCCUUCAUAUAUCAUAAUAUAAGUAGAGAAUUGAUAUAUUUUUUCAUGUUCCUUCACUUAUCCAUAACACACAAAACGACUACUUGAAUACCGAACACUUUGAAAAGCUUCUCUACACGAGGGGCCAACGACAUGCAGGGCUUUUCUGGUGCUGGUCAAAUGUCUGCGGAAUGACAAACACAACAUUUGGGUCAAGAUUCAAGAACAUGAAAAGGAUAAUCAGAAUCAAAAUAUCCUUUUUUUCCUUUCAUUUCUUUCUAAUAAAGAAUUAAAGUUAUUUUAUUUUACUUUUUACGAAUAAAAAUAUCAAAAAUAGAAACUAAAAUAACAGUAAUCAGCACACCGUUGCCAAAAUACUGCUUAAUUUUCUAGUAAUUGUGUCUAAUUACGGUGUAAAUCCGGGAUAUUUUCAUUAAAUAAUUUUAAAGUAGUUGGGUAGGUUGAGAAAACGAAAGCACUUACGUAUAUCUCAGUCGGCCCGCAGGGGCAGAAGAAGUUGAGUUCCACAAGCUAUGACGUCUCAAUAAGAGCUUUAGAGAUGUCUAGGUGAAAUGUUAUGCAUAUUUGACGUUAAAAGUUUAUUCAACUGAAGUGUUGUUUGCUGACUGGAUUUAAAAACAUUGUGAUUAUGAGUCAAAUUUGAUAUUUACGUCAAAUUUAUUUUUAAUUCAUUUUAAUAGUUUAUCUUAUUCCACUAACAUUUCAAUUAAUAAAAAUUUUGUUUCAACUUUCAUUUUAAUAUUUACAACAAUUUAAAGAUCUAUUUAAAUAAAAAUAAUAAUAUUUGACAAUUCAAUUGAAGAGCUACAAAAUUUGACAUAAAACUUGAGAUUGUCACAUCAACCAUCAAUUGUAAUUUAACUAUUAUAAUUUGACAUAUCUCUUAAAGGACCUGGAUUAUCUGCCCUCCCUCAUCUCUUAACAUUGUCACGGUUAAGUCACGUCAACAUUUUAUAUUCCCAUUGCUUUUUAUCUUAUUAUUUCUAUAAAAGAAUCAAUACAAAAUAUUGACGUAACUUAACCGUGAUCACAUAAAUAGAAAAUGAUGAGAAGGGUAUGAAAUAGGGAGGACAGACAAUCCAAGUCCUCUCUUAAAAAUGGUCUAUGAGGCCAAACACAUGCACCUAUCCUACAUAGGCUAUAGUUUAGACGCGGAGAAAAAGGAAAUAAAAAGGGAAGAAAGAUGUAAAAAUAAUUCUAAAGAAGUUUCCGGUAUCUAAUAAUGUAAUAUCAAACUAUGUUCUAUUUAUGUAAUUCAACUAACCAAAUAUUUAUUUACUAACUGACGAGAAAUUCUUGAGCGUUGAGGACCAGAUCCAUUAUAGCCCAUGCGUCUAUUAUUUAUAAUCCUUCGUUUAAGAAGGGAAUAUUCUUUGAUCCUAACAUGAAAAUAUGCAUUUUGAGGAUUGCUGUGCCGAUUGAUUUUGUAUUUGUGUGGUUGCAUCUAGAUUGCAUACGUACCCUUGGUGGAAUCAAACCAGCGUAAUUCAUAAAGAAUUUGGAAUUCAAUUUGGAUCUGUGUGAUUUGUAACAUUUGAGGGAUAUUUGAAUUGUAUAGUCUGGAGUCGGACUAACAUUUAGAAUAGUGCAUUUUGAUUUUUCAUUUGUCACGAUGCAAUCGAAUUCGUAGUUAGGUGCUGCCCUGCGAGUUUUUGCUAUGUUGCUGCCAUAGAGAGACAGAAGGUCUGAUUUCAGAGUGUUGGAGCUGCAGUCCAACGGACGCGUGCGCGGUUCUUCCUGGACCGUUGAGGAGGACGAACCAGUCGGUGACUUGGUGGCGCGGACGGUCUUGAUGCGACUGUUCUUUCUUUUUUGUUGUUUGAUAACUUAGGGAGGGUUCUUCAUUAGAGGUGGUGUUGUUUUGUUAAUGCUUACCAGCAGAAAAGAAGAAAAAUAAUAAUAGGUAGAGAAAUAUGGCACAGAGGUUUUAUACCUUCUGAAUGUUGCUCUCUCCUUCCUUGAAAGACUUGGUUCGGAAUCGCCGGUGAUGAAAUUUUUUUGUCUAUCUUUUUGCAGCACUUCGUUGUGUUCGAGUACCUAUUUUACUAUUUAUUUACUCCGAAAGCUACAUUUUCUUGCAAUAUAUUUGAUUUAAAUGAAAUGAAUUUCAUGAUUUUGUAUUCUCAAGCUAGAUUAACGAGAUGGAAAUUUUAUUGGAUCUCAUUAGUUUUAAUGAGUUAAAUGAGUCAAGUAUAAUAUAAAUUGAGCGUGUGUGCUUUUGGCAUAUUUAAGAUCGAGUAAUGCUAGAGAGACUCAAUUUGGUGACUAAAUUUUGAAAAUUAAAGAACAUGAAAGUUGAUGAUUGAUUUAUUAGUUAAGUGUUGAUUUAGAUGCUCAUUUCUAUUAGUAACACAUAAUUUAGUUUACAAUUUUAAUCUCCCUAGCAUUAUUCAUUGAAUAUCACAUGUUUUUCUUUCUUUUUGGGUUUCAAAUACAUCGUGUUAUUUAAAUGUUAUGCAGGGUACGUGCCCGCUUCAAGAAGAAGACGGCCUUUAUCCUUUUAUUGCACAGAAAAGAAAAAUGAAAGCUUUGCCUUCUCUUCUAUUCUCAUGAGCAAGCCGACACAGAAACAAUUGCAGCAGAAUGUGACCACUUAGAGAUUUUCUAGAAGUUAGACAGCGAGAUGCGAGGAUGCUAUGACUGCGGCAAGUAAACUCAAGAUAAUAAGUUGGUGUUAAGCUAGCGGGUUUGACUAGUCAGUCCAACGUAUUAUAAUUUUUAUAUACAGAAUAUUUUAUUUGAUAUCAAUUUCAAGAUGUCAUAGACUCUUAGCACAUAUGAGUAUACAUAGUAAUCUAGAUGUCAUAAAUACUAUAUGAAUUAGAGGAACUAGACCGUCAAUUUGGAUGAUUACUCAUUAAUAAUUAACCGUUGGAAUUGACUUAGAUUGGUUAUGGUGAAUCGGAUGCUCUAAUGUUUUUCGCAAUUGAUUUAUAAUUUUAUUUCUUUGUUGUUCUUGUCACUUAUUUAAUCUCAUUUGAUUUUUAUUUACAUUUACAACUUCAAAGUUCUUUCCCAAAUCAUCAAUCUUUCAAUUCCAAUUCAAGUGCAAUUUAAAUUAAAGUUAGAUAAUUAGAAUGAUAUCAAUCUUAGUUGGAACGAUCUUGUGCUUGCCUACUAUACUACUUUACAGUAUGUACACUUGCGAGCACUAAAAUUUGAACUUUAUUGGGUUAAUUUCGGUUAAUCUAAUUUUGGCAACAAGUUUUUGGCGCCGUCGACGAAGAUUGAAUUAGUUCUAUUUAUAGCUUAUUUUUAUUGUUAUUUGUGUUGAUUUUAAUUUUUGUUUUUGUUUUCUUUUCUUUUUAGGUACUUUUUGAAGUUCAUGCACGGUCGCUAUUCUCGGAGUCGAGAGCUUUUACCACACGAUUUAGAAAUUAAGGAACCUUCUGACACAUACAAAGAGAGUAAAUAAGGCCACCAUAACCUAUUUAUGAAAUGGCUCUCCCUAAUCUGAAUGAGAACCGAACGUUGAUGGAGUAUUUUGCUCUUAUUGUGACAACCUCACCAUCAUGCAUCGUUCGUCUGCAAAUUGCUGCCAACAACAUCGAGUAGAAACCAUCUUUCAUUAAAAUGAUGUCGUCAUUUUAUGGCUUGUCAAACGAAGAUCCUAAUUUGCAUAUCAAUGAGUUUCUUGAGAGUGGUGACACUCUCAAGAUCCAUAAUGUGACAGUUGAAGCAGUAAGGUUGUGUUUGUUUCCUUUUUCAUUGAAAGACAAGGCGAAGUCUUGACCUCAAUCUCUUCCACUCAACUCAAUCACAACUUGGAAUGACUUGGCAAGCAAAUUUUUGCAAAAAUUCUUCCCUCCUUCCAAGACUACUAAGUUAAGGAAUGACAUAAUGACUUUUGCUCAAUUCAUGGCGAGCCCUUUUAUGAGAGUUAGGAGUGAUUUAGAGAUUUUUUGUUAAAGUGACCACACCAUGGUCUACCGAAAUGGCUACAACUUCAGAAUUUCUAUCAAGGUUUAAGCACUGAUAAUAAUCGGAUGAUAGAUGCUCCCAAUAGGGGUGCUCUAAUGACAAAAAAUAUUGAUGAAGCUUUUGCACUAUUCAAUUCAUUGGCUGCUAAUUCUCAAACUUGGGGUACUCAUAGAGAUACCAAAGAAGGCCGGAAGACAUGAGAUUGACGCCAUGUUAGCUAUGGCUGCACAAAUUUCCGGUUUAAAUAAAAAGUUUGAUAACUUAAUGAUUAUCAAAUCUGUGAAAUCUUUUGAUGUUGUUUAUGAAAUUUGUGUAAGUAUACAUUCAAGUAUCGAAUGUCCCAUGAGCAGUUCUUUUCGGGAGUUUAUUUAAGAAAGCCAAUCAAGUGAACAACUUCAACCGCCAACGGUUUGAUUCGUUCUCAAAUAAAUAUAAUCAUGGUUGGCGUCAUGAUCCAAAUUUUGGUUGGAAGAAUAAUCAGCAGAAUCAAGUAAACCCGCCUUUACCGUUCUAGAACAAUGAAGCCAAAAAGAGUUCAAUGAAAGAUAUGAUGGCUCAAUUUGCUCAAACUACCAACACUCUCGAUCAGAACACAAAUAAUUUCAUGCAAGCAACUCAAACUUCUCUACAAAAUCAGCAAGCAUCCAUACGUAAGCUAGAUGAGCAGGUUGGUCAGAUUGCUAAUGCAAUGGUUGAGAGAGAGAAUGACAAGUUUCCAAGUCAAACUGAGAUCAAUCACAAGAAUUAAGAGCAAGCCAAGGCCAUCACACUCCAGAGUAAGAAAGUUGUAAAGACAAAGGAUGAAGAAAAAGUGAACCCGAUUGAAAAGUUGAUAAAUGGCAUCACUGAAUCGUAAUAGGAAGAGCAAGUACAUGAGAAAAACAUUUCUCCACCUAUUCCAUAGCCUCAACUGUUACAAAAGGCUAAGACAGAUCAACACUUUUCUAAUAUUUAUGAUUUGUUCAAAAAAGUUCACAUUAACUUUCCUUUGCUUGAUGCAAAUGCAAUGAAACAAAUUUCGAGUUAUAUUUUUGAAAGACAUAUGCACCAAGAAGAGGAAAUUCGUUGAGCAUGAGACAGUGAUGGUAUCCAAAGAAUGUAGUGCGGUGCUACAAAAGAAAUUGCCACCUAAGUUGAAAGAUCCAAGGAGUUUCACUAUUCCUUGCACAAUUAGAAAUACUCAUUUUGAUAAAUCUUUAUGUGAUUUGGGUGCAAGUAUUAAUCUAGUGCAAUUCUCUAUCUUUAAACAAUUAGGUUUGGGAGAGAUAAAACCAACAUCAGUUUGUUUGUGGAUCGAUCUGUCACAUACCCACGAGGAAUUAUCGAAGAUGUAUUGGUGCGGGUUAUAAAGUUAAUUCUCCCUGCAGAUUUUGUUGUUCUUGAUAUGGAAGAAGAUCAUGAAAUCCCAAUCAUCAUAAGCAAGCCAUUCUUGGCAACUGCAGAUACUGUAAUUGAAGUUUGAAAGGGCCUAGUUACAUUGAGUAUACAAGGAGAGCAUGUGGUGUUUAAAGUUUUUAAAGCUAUUAAAUGCUUAAGUGAUGCAGAAUGUUUUGGAGUCGAUGUUCUUAACAAGGCGGUGAAUGUGGAUGUCAAUUUCGUCGCCACCAAUUCUUCACCUCUUAUCACCGAUCCUGCUUAACCCAUUAGUAGUCCGGCUGAAGACUAUAAAUUUAGCGCUUGUUAGGAGGCAACCUAAUAUUUCUAUGUUCCUUUUAGUUUCUUCUUUUUCGUUUUUAUUUUCUUUCCUGAAUUUCUUGCAUGUUAUGCUGUGUUAUUUUAUUUUUCGUUGUAGGAGAACUGGAUGUUGUCCACUCUUGGAGCUUAUUGUAGAUCAAGUUUGUGGGUUGCUUCUUGCCGGGGAACAUGAUGACUACCAUGUGGUGCAUAAACCAAGGAAAUGUCUUUGUCCAAAUGUUUUUCCUCAUUCAUUUUAUUUUAUUCUUUAUUUCAUGUGUUAAAAGACAUUAGGGACAAUGUCAAUUUUAAGUUGGGGGUGAGGUUUAAAAACAAAGAAAAAAUUGAAAAUUUCCAAACCUUUCAACAAGAAUUGAAUUGCACUGUCUUUAUUUUGCUUUGUCAAUUUUGAGUCAUUUCGUUUUAUUACUUUAGUUUGUCUUGUUCUUACUACUUAAAAAACAAUAAAAUUUAGAAAAUUUAAAAAGAAAAAAAAUUAGAAAUUGACAUAAAAUUCAAAAGCAUUUUCUUGUUUUUUUUAUUAUUGUUUUGAAUUUGUUUUUUUGACACACCCCAAUCUGAAAUGUCCACCUGGACUUCGAAUCAAGCUGUGCUAGCCGACACCAGAAGGUGACAAAGCCAUAAAGUGUAGUAAUAUGGAAAAUAUGAAUAAAUUUAAACCUAAAGUGCCUAAAUAUAAGAGUGUGCUUGUGAGCGAGAAUGAACUCAUUUCACACGUGAUAUUAGAGUAUAGUACAAUAAAGUAGGAUGAGAAUUAUACCAUCGAAGGUAACCACCUAUACCAAGAUUUGCCAAGAAUCCUUAUUGGCACGAAAGCUCAUCACUAAAACAUGGAAGGGCGAAAAACAAGGGUGAGUGGGCCUAAAAAUGAAGUUUUAUAAAAACCUUUGUUACAUCCCGGCCCGGGACGGACCACUUCCUGGGCCCGCUUUACCAUUGUAGCACGAUAUUGUCAUUUUUGGGCCCUGACCACACACUCACGAUUUUGUUUCUGGGAACUAACAAGCAACUUCCUAGUGGGUCACCCAUCAUGGGAGUGCUUUGGCCACCUUCUCACUUAAUUUCGGAGUUCCGACAAAACCCGAAGCCAGUGAGCUCCCAAAAAGCCUCGUGCUAGGUAGGGAUGAGAAUAUACAUUUAAGGAUCAUUCCCCUGGGCGAUGUGGGAUGUUACAACCUUUUUGAAAAUAUUAUAACCCCUCGUCGUAAAACAAGUAUAGUUUUCAAAAUAUACAUACUACGUAUAGUAUGAAAAUACUUACCGUAGCCUGCAAUAUCUUAAGAAUUCAAUACCUUACAGAAUUCGUAAUAAGCACCCAACGUCCGAUAAUCACAUAAUCUCGUAUAAAUAAACAUAUCAUAUCGAGUGCUCAUUGACAUAUGCUGACACAUGAGUUCAUGCAGAGGUAAUUUAACAUGAACAUGAUUGAGUGUAAUAAUGAUUUACACUCUAGUACUACAAUCACGUGAAGACUGCAUAUGAGUCCUAAUUGCCUAUAACAUUCUAGGAUAGGACAGGCACCUACAAUAGAUCCAAAAAGAGCGUACGGUGCGAUGUGAAUAUACACGUGAAAGACUAGCCUUGGCCCGGGCAAGUACUAACACCGGUGCAGGAACGAUGAAUAGAUAAUGUAAAUAAAAUCAUACAGUGGUAAGUUGAUAAUUCACAUUACCAUAAUACUAUUCAUGGCCAUAAAUAUAAUUAAGGCAUCAAUAAUAAUACGCAUACCUGUACAUUCCGUAUGACGUAGCAUAAUUUCAUAAUUUCUAUCAACACGCUAAAUCUUAUCAACGUAAAGCUAAUCUAGGCGUAUCGUAGAAAAUUCUUUAUGAAAUAUAUAAAUGGAAACCAACAAAUGUAUAUAUAUAUAUAUAUAGACACACUACAUAAAAGAAAUGACCCACUCAUAAUUACUUGCGAUGUCACAUCCAUUCAAGUUAGGAAGCCAGAGUCUUCGAUGGUAAUUGCACCUAAGCAUAAUAUUGGGACCCAUUAGUAAAAAUUCAACUAAAACGAUUAAAUUUGGAAAAACGGAGUGCGGCUUUGGAAUCAGAGUGUCCAGAUACACUAAGAAGGGUCCUGGGCAAAUAUUGUAAAAAGUCAACAGUUAAUCCUAAAAAGUCAACCGAGCCACUCCGACGGUCAAGUACAUUAAAACUUUGAAAUUUCACUAAAUGGAUGUCAAAAAUGGACUAGGGGCGUCAAAAUUAGCCUAAAAGGGUUUUCGAGAAAACUUUCAAAAAGUCAACAUUUAGAAACUGAGCUGGGCUGGAUCUCGGGUUUGGAUUUAGAUCUGGGUUUAUUGGAUUUUUUUAACCGAGUCGGGUCGACCCGUUAUCUCGCGGGUUGAACUUGUUGGACCAAAUGAAGAAGAACAUCGAUAUUUUGGCCAGGAAACUUCCCGAGCUUUGUUUAGCUUCGAAUCUCAACAAAAACUCGCCAUUUAAAAGCUAAAUUAAAGCUAGGAAGGCAAUGAUACGAAAUAUACCUAAAAUAGGACUAAUCCGUGGCCAGAGUUGGCAAAGAAAUGGCUCAAAGCUGCAGGAUCUUCGCCGAAAAACUGGGAAAUUUCCCCCACGUUGUUUCUUACAUCCAAAUGUCACCAAAAUCCCUCAAAUUUACCCUAGUCCUACUACAAAACAUGAUCUACGAAGAACUUGGGGUUUUUGAGGUUCACCUUUGUCAGAAAAAUGAAGUUUCAUUAGAGGAGACGAUGAACAGUAGCCAAAGCCACUGUGCAGCCACAUCUCGAACCAAGGUGCACUGAACUGACUGGAUAACGGCAAUGGUGAUCUCCCUUCGAGGCUAGUGGUCUGAUUUCGAUGGUUUUGAUGGAAGACGGCGAUGCUCUGUUGUGGUAAUGUCUGCAUAACUACAGAGAUAAGGAGAACGGGCGGGAGAGAAAGGUGAGAGAUGAGGGAGAGGAAAUCAUGGCAGUCGGCGGUGAUUCGUGACUAGCCUAGGUUCGUGGUGGUGGUGUUCGCUGAAAUGGCGAGGGUGGUAUCGUGCGGUUUCUCCACACUUACAGAAAGAGAAAGACGAGACGGAGUAGACAGAUAAUAGAGAGUGAAAUGAGGGAAUGAGGAAUGAGGUGGCAGCAAAUGAGUGGAGAGUUGAAAAAAUGGGAUUUCUGGGGAUUGGGAGACACGAAGAGAGGGAAAGAGUUGGGUGUGGGCCCCACGUGGCUCACAAAACAAGCCACAAAAUAUCUUUAAACAUGUAAUUACCAAAUUGCCCUUCAUGUUCAUAAGUCUGUAAAAUCUUUAUCGUAACUUCAAAUUUGAUUCCGCUUGUGCCCACGUGUUCGUAUCAUCGAGUACUAGACAAAUACUCUAAAAGAAUGAGUCAUACAUCUCUAUAAACAAUGAUCAACAUAAGUCAAAAUUCUUGCCUCUAGAGGCAUUUUUGUCAAGUCACACUUUUAAAAUUAAUAAAAUCGUAAAAUUAGGGACGGGUUGUCACAUUUUUUGUUAGUAUCCUGACCCAAUGACAUGAUUGGUUGAAUUCAAAACAUGGUGAUUGAGAAAUUAGUAAGCAUGUUUUAGGUGAAUUUCCUUAUUCUCUUAUUAGCUUUGUACAUGUUCGAUCAUCCUUGAAACACGAAUGCACAUAGCCUUGUUGAUUUGAAACUAAAGCAUGAUUUAAUGUUUCAUAUGUGAAUAUAGUGACCAAAUGGGAAAAUUGUGAGCUUUUGAACCUAAUAUGAUUGAACUAUCAUGCAUCAAUCAUUUUUAUUCUCAUGCGUAUGAUCUCAUUCUUACAUGUAUCUCUAAAACUUGAUUUAUACCUUUUGAUUCAUUCGUCAAUUCAUGAAUAACUUGGAAAGGAUAAAGGCCAUUUUUUGAUCGUUUGAGCCUUUCAUGCCUACCUUAUAUGCUUAUUUUAUCGUUAGUAGCCCUUUGAGCCUUAAAUUAAGCCUUUUCUUUGCUAGCCAUAUCUCAUGCUCCGAUAUUGGAGUUGAGCCCUUAUGCAUAUACCUAUAUUUUAUUGUUUUGAGAAAGUAUUAUAGAGGUUAGGCUAUUGGGUUUAAUUUAUAUAGAAAAAUGGAUGGAGAGUGUGUACUACAUUGAAAUGUGAAAAUGCGGGGCGUUGUAGCUUUGUAUAUUCGAGCAUGAUAAAAAGAGAGAAAUGAUUAAAAAUCUGCAGGAAGCUCGCUAUUUUGUGUGGAUGGUAUGGGUUUCAUUCAUUUAUGUAAAUAUUGAAAAAAAAAAUUGGAGAGUGCUAAGAUGUUGAAAUGUGUUAUGUACAAGCAUACUUCUAUUCUUAUGGCGCGUUUACGUAACCAUAAUCAAAAUAGAGGAAUUGAAUUGAGGAGGAAUUGGAUUGAGGUGAAGUCAGAAUCGGAUUCCGGUUGAAGAUGUUUACUUAAAUGUUCUAGAAUCGGAAUAAAAAUGAAACGAAAUUCAUAUAAAUUGUUUACUAAUUCACCUGAAUCGGAAUAGAAAUCAAUAUGAUUACUAAAAUACCCUUAUUAUUUUUGUUUUAAAUAACAUUUUCACAAAAUAGAGGAAUAGAAAUUCAUAUAAAUUCUUUCCCAUAUUGUUUUUAAUAACAUUUUCACAAAGUGUCAUUGUUGUAAACCUUCAUCUAUCUUCCCCAACAGAAGAUAAAAAUUCAUCCCUCCCCCUUUCCCCUCGCUUUCAUCUUUCCCACUCACCCUACCCCAUAAUCACCACCCCUCCUCCCUGCCAAGUAUUUCAAUUUCAAGAUUUUCUAGGGAUUGUAAAAUUCUCCAUUGUUGAAAGCUCGAAGCUUGAAGGAUUGGGUUUUUCUGGGCACUAUUUCUGUCAGUUCAUGGCUAGAAGAUGAAGUGGAAAGCGCGGAUAGAAGAUUGCAGAGUUUGUUGUGUCCGUUGGAAGUGGAACCCACGCGCUUUGCAAAUUGCAAUGGAUAGAGCGAGGGAGGGUUUCCAACGAUGUAUUGUGAUUCAUCUAGUGCAAUUCCUAGUUCCCACUAACCACCCUUUUCAUAUUCCCAGUUGUCUUCCUCCAACUCCAAUGCCAAGCUGAAGCAUUUGUGAAUAAAAGGGCAUAAUAGGAAAGUAGAAGUGCAUUCUUGAUUCCUUCACCAUCCAGGAAUCCAAAUACCUCACCCAUGGAGGGAGUCCAAUUCCUCUUAUUUCAAGAAUUGAAUUCCAUUUUUCGUGUGGGUCCCACACGCUGUUGAUUCCUCCAAAUCAUAGUAAACACAAGAAUUAUCCGUAAUCGGAAUUGGAUUCCUUAUUUUCAUUCUGAUUACGGGUGCGUAAACACGUCAUUAAUGUUCAUUGUUAUUAUACAUGAAAAGCUUGAGUGUGCAAUUGCAUAAGUUGGAGGGAUAGCUUGUGAUGCAAAGUUCAUAUUUCUAGUUGAAAUUGUGAGAGGAUGUUACUGUCUUUGGCUUGCUCUAAUGUAUACUUUCUCAAAAGUUUUGAAUUCCAUAUCCUUUCUUUCAAUAGCUUAUCACCUUUAGCCCCAUUACAACCUGGUAAAAGACUUUUUGAUCCAAGAAAUUACUUGAAAUUGAUACCGAGCUAGGUUGAUAAGCAAGCAUAUGGCUGCAUGUUUAAUUAAUGAGAUCAUUUGAGUGAAACACAUUAACCCAUAAAUAUGUGUGAAUGAGUGUAUGUCCGGUGAGAAGGUCAUUUGUUUGCAUAUGAUGAUUUUGAUAAGCUUGGAAUUGCAUUGGCAAGGCUAUUAUACACACUACACCUUAAGGAUGAUUGAAAGGUUUUGGCUAACACAUGGAAUAUGGUUGAUUCAGUUGUUUUGUGCUUGUGAAAAUUCUUUAUUAUUAUGAACUCUGAUUGAGAUUCUUUGAGGUCAUAGGGGGAAGCUAGUGGUUUCCAUGCUAUUAUUUUUUUUAAUGCUUUUUCUUUCUUUUACUCGAGGACUAGUAAAACGUAAGUUUGGGGGUAUUUGUUGCGAACCUAUUUUACUAUUUAUUUUACCCCGAAAGCUACAUUUUCACGAUAUAUUUGAUUUAAACGAAAGGAAUUGCAUGAUUUUGUGUUGUCAAGCUAGAUUAAUGAGAUGGAAAUUAUAUUGGAGCUCAUUAUUAGUUUUAAUUGAGUUAAAUGAGUCAAGUAUAAUUCUUUCUCAAUAUUUUGCCUAAAUAAAAUGAAUGUGUGUGCUUUUGGCAUAUUUAAGAUCACAUGUUUUUCCUUCUUUUUGGGUUUCAAAUACAUCAUGUUAUUUAAAUGUUAUGCAAGGUACAUGGCCACUUCAAGAAGAAGACGGCCUUUAUCCUUUUAUUGCACAGAAAAGAAAAAUGAAAGCUUUGCCUUCUCUUCUAUUCUCAUGAGCAAGCCGACACAGACACAACUGCAGCAGAAUAUGACCACUUACAGAUUUUCUAGAAGUUAGACGGCGAGAUGCAAGGAUGCUAUGACUGCAGCAAGUAAACUCAAGAUAAUAAGUUGGUGGUAAGCUUUCGUCGGGUUUUUUUUUUUUACAAGCAACGAUAGAUUGGUAUUUCAUUCAAUAUCUCAAACAGUACAUAGGUGCCUAAGCUUUCGUUGGUUACACAGAAGGAAAUGAAGGAAGACAAGAAUAAAAAGGAGUUUUGCUAGGCAUUAAUUUAUCAAUUAUUAGGCUGUUGGAGAAUAAAAGAGAAGACAAAAGAAGGUUUGGAGGUGGAUCAUUCAAGAAAGAAAAAGGAACGGCUUGGUGUUUUGUUUUGGCAUUAAUUUUGCAAUAUGGGGCUGAUCAUUAUGGAGCAUUAAGGAAACGGAAGAAUGGAGAAUUUGAACCACAUUAUUAUUAGUUCAUUAUGAGGUUAAGUCCAUUUCUUUUCCUUUGUGUAAACAAUAUCGUUUGUUAAACCACAAGAGCAUUUUUGCUAACCAUUCUAAACCUUAGUGUAUGCUCACAUACAUCUAACUAUUUUUUAUGUGUCAUUUCACUUAAUAUUUGUUAAUUUAAAAAAAAUUGAAAAAGUAACAUUUAAUGUAAAAUUAAUUAGAGUAAGUUGAAAGGACAUAUGAUAAAUGAUUAGAUGUAUGGUGAGAAAAAAUUAUCUCAUCCACCACUUUGAUUUUGCUUUUCGAAUUAAAAUUCUAGAACCCACAUUCCUUCAAUAAUGGAACCACUUCUAUGUGCUACACUUAUACAAAUGAUUUAUUUAUUUUUUGAUAGAACACUUAUACAAAUUAUGGUAGAAAUAAAAAGUAAGAAUUUUUUCCAUUCAUUUCAUUUUUUCAUCUGAAAUUUAGGAAAGGAAGCCCAAAAUUAAUUAAUUAUUUUUUUCUGGCAUAUUUUUUUACUUCAACACAUGUCCAAUUCUCGGAGUCUAAAAUCGCAACACAAAUGACAUUCCUUGGAUAACAAGUCACAAAAAAAGCAACUAAGAACCCAAAGAAAGAUUAAACAAACAUAACAACAAUGCCAUUGAGAUAACAACAAGAGAAAUUUCGAAACUAGAAAGGAUAUAACCAGAAUCCAAACGUUACACCCACGACUCAUGUAAUUUCCUCAACUCUAAAUCCCGGAAAAGAGCCAUGGAAAUUAUCAGGUUAGGCAUUGACAUAAGCAUUGAGAGCAUCACCUGUGAGCCUGCAAAUCCUCCACUCCUGCAAAAUCUUUGCCCCCAUCUCCUCAUGAAACUUUAUAGCAUUCACGUUUCAGUCGAGCACCGCCCAUUCCACUAUACCGUACCCCAUCCUCACUGCCUGCUUCACCACCGUCGAAAGCAGCAUUUUCCCGAGCCCCUUCCUCCUGUAGCACUCCCUCACAAACAGGUCCUCAACGUAAAACCCUCGUUUCCCCAGAAGGGUGGAGUAAUUUGGGAAAAACAGCACAAACCCAGCAACGACGGCGUCCCCGCUGUUGGACCUGAACAAAUUACGUUCUGGGUCAUCGAUGGGGAGGUCCAGAUUGAGGGUUUUGAUGGUGCGUGGGUAGGCCGAGUUGUUGCACUCAAGGUGAAGGUGUUCCACGAAAGGCGUCUGAGAGACCUCGAGGACGAAGAUGGUGAAGGAUUGGAACGGAUGGGAGGUGAAGAGGAUGGAGGAGAGGGAGGACUCGGUUGCGCCGAAGAGGUCGGUUAGGUGCUCAAAGACGGCCAGCUGGUGGAUGAGCUUGUGGAUGUGUGGGACGUCGGUGGGGAGAGCUAAGGGAAUUCGGUAGAAGAAUGAGUGGCCCGUUAGGGUCAAGCAUUGGGGUACGUCGUUGAAGGCCUCUGGGGCUGAGGUAGGUGGCAGCGGCGCGGCAGGGGCUAGGGGUGGGUUUGGUUCAAAUCGGUUCGGUUUUUUGCAAAAACCGAAACCGAACCGAAUUUCGGUUCGGUUUCGGUUUUUUUUUCAAAAAAUAUGAAAAAAAUUGAAAUCUUAAAUUUUAACAUAUCCAACAUAAUCAUAACAUAAAUAUUCCGACUAGACUUAAAGAUAAUGAAAAUAAACAUUUAAAGUUCAACUAGAAUUAUAACAUAAAGGUUUUUUUUUAAAUAUUUUGGGUUUAAAGUUUAACUGUAAAUAGAUUUCUUUUUAGACGAUGAUGAUGGAGUACUACCUUAUUCAUUCCUCUCUUUCUCUCAAUCUCUCUCUCUCUCUCUAUCUCUAUCUCUCUCUCUCUCUCUCUCUCUCUCUCUCUCUCUCUCUCUCUACAUGUAUUCUUCACUAGCAAUAAGAUAAACAUUCUAUAAUAUACUAUUUAUUUUGAUUAUUGUCUAGGUAACAAUUUUUGAUAUUUUCUUUAUCUUUAUGGUCCGAAUUUUUUUUAUCCAUAUAUGUGGUUACAUAAUAUAAUUUCUACAUUCUGUGUUUAGCUUCUACCACCAACAAAUUUAAUAUUUUUGAAUAUAUUGAUAUACUUUUCAAAAUUGUUAGGCCACGGAAGCUACUAUACUUGGCCAUAGGUGAGAAAGUUUGAAUUUUGUUUUUGAUCUCGUAGUGUUUAAUAAACUCAUGAGACUUUUAUACGCUGUUUGCUUUCCCUAAUCAACUGCAGUGCAGUUGAGAUAUGUGUUCUUAUAUAUGUGUUGCACUUAAUGAUAUAAACUGGAAAUAUUGCAUGUAAUGGUAUAAGUUCUAAUUUUUGUUGUAGAUGGAGAAACUGAGAAUACAAUUUGAAUUGGAAAGCAAACAAGUCCUACCAAAGCAGUAGUCCGAAGUAUCAUAUUCUAAUAUAAUAAAAUCAAAUAAUUAAAUAAAUAAAAUUAAAAAAAUAUUAAUUUAAUUAUUUCGGUUCGGUUCGGUUUGGUUUGGUUUCUAGACCACCAAAACCGAACCGAACCGAACCAAAAGAGUUUGGUUCGAUUCGGUUUUUUCAAUUCGGUUCGGUUUUUUCGGUUUCGGUUUGAUUCGGUUUUCAGUUUUUUUCGGUUUUCGGUUUUUUGAACCCAACCCUAGCAGGGGCCAUGUUUGUGGUUGGGGUUUGGGUAUUUGCUUGUUUAGCAACCGAGAAAAGUUGUCUACAGUUUUCCAGGAAAUGCGUGGGAAAAUGGCACUGGUGUGUAGGGGUGGUUCGGUUUUUGGGGUAUUGGGCUCUUUGGCUUUUCGGCUUAUCGGCUAUAAUAUUUGGUUGUGCAUUGUAUGUUGGAAAUUUUGAGUAGAAUUUUAUUGUCCCACAUUGCUUAUUAUCACAAUGUUUCCUCACUUUAUAAGGCUUUGUCCCUUAUAGAAAGUGAUUGGAGUGAUGGACAUUGGAGACUAAAAUUGGGCUCACCCUUGAGGUUGGGCUUUGGGGUGUAAUAAUUAAUAUCAAUUAAUUAAUGUUUAAUAUAUAUAAUUAAUUAUCAAAAGAUGGGGUUGGGCUCUGAAAAUUAAAUUCUAUAAUUAAUUAAUUUUAAUUAAUUUCGAAUUUAAUUAAAUUAUUUUUUUAUGAAAAGACUCAUAUUUUCAGAUGAAAUCUGAGAAACAGAUGGAGCAACACACCCUUUACGUUGAACAGUCGCCUCCCAAAAACAUGUCUGUUGCGAAUAGACAUAUGCUCACUAUAAAUACAUGCAUCUGCAUAUCAUUUAGAUAACUGAAAAUCAUCAAUCCUCAUAUACCAAGCAUACUGAGAGUACCACAAACAAAUUUGCCAGAAGUCUAGUUUUCCAGUGCUGGAAUUCUAACUUAGAUCAUUGAAUCCUGGUGAAGCAGACGUCCAUAGAACUACAAGCACUGAGUAGGGACGAAAUUUCUGUUUCAAGGACAUUGUGGUACGCAAGCCUCAAUCUUUGUUUGUUUUAUAUUUUUGUUUUAUUCAUACUCUGUUAAUUUUUAUAUUCGUAUUUAUUGUUUAUUAGCAUAAAUAAUUAAAACAUAGAUUGUUGACUUAUAACCAAUGGUGUGCAUUAUAUGAACUCCACAGGAAUUGACAUAACAUACAUGAGGACCCAAUCAAAGAAAAUAAUUGUUCUGAAAUGCAAUAUGCAACAGGAAAUGCAACUUUGCAAGGAUUGUGAAAGUAGCAAAGCGCCACCUACUAGAGGAAUGACAGUUAUUAGUGUCGUCUUCUUCCAUCCCUAACAUAUUAGACCCAUAGACUUCAAUUUUAAAUGUUUGUAGACAAGCAACCACUUAUAACUCAAGAGGCUUAAAUACAGAAGGUUCACAAGGACCAAUAAGUACAAACCGUACAGUAUUUGACUACUCUGCCAACAUCUUGUACAACAUUUUGAAAGUUUAGGUCACUCUUUUCCAGUCUAGCCCGUUGGCAUCACAAAUGUGGGAGACAAACAAUUCUAAUCCAUAUGCCUAUGUCAAUGUUUCCUGAUUACUUAAUCCUAUGCAAUGAACAAAAUAUAUUACGACUAGGUUAAAAGAACAGACAUCAAACACAAGUUCUAAUCCAUAAGUUCCUGAUUACUUCAUCUGAGAAAUUUACCUGUUGGUAAAUAAAACUCUAGCAUAGAAGCUGCAAAAGCAAAGCAAAAGAGCCCAGUUCCUUCGGACCUUCACCAAUCUGCAAAAACCCAAGAACCAUUAGACCAAUUAAAUAGAAUAUGUGAAACCAAACAAACCCUAAAUUUACAAAACCUAAUCUAGAAUUCGAAAAUUAAAUUUCAAAAACCCUAAAAUUACAAACCCUAAUCUAGAAUUCGUAAAUUAAAUUUCACAAACCCUAAAUUAAAUUUCAAACCCUAAAUUAAUUCCCAUAUUUAUUUACCUAUGUCUGAAUCUGAGAGAAAGAAUCACGUGAGAGAGUCAGAGACUCCUAAGAGAGAGAUAGCGAGAGAGUCGAGAGAGAGAGGGACCGGUGGUGGCUAUGGCUUUGUGUCGUGAAGGAAGGGUCCACCGUUGAAGAGAGACAACAGUUGAUGAUCCGUGUGGUGGUGGGCUAGUGACUGGCUGGGCGGAGUUGGAUUUGAGAUAGAUAAGAGGAUGAAAGGGCUUUCUCGGUGGCUGAAGCGCUGAGCUGAGAGACUGAGUGAGUGAGAAAUGAAAUCGAAUGUUCGAAACGUCACUCGAGUCCUCGACGGGGAGAAAGCCUAACAAGGAAUGGACGACAUAUAUUAAUUUGAAACAAUCCAACAGUUCAAAUUAACUCUAACUAUAAUUAAUAUAUAUAUAUAUAUAUAUAUAUAUUAUUUGUGUAAGUAUAUAUAUAUAUAUAUAUAUAUAUAUAAUAAUUAAAAAUAUAUAUUUUCGGUUCAGUAUGGGAAUAUCGAAAUAUUGGGAAGACAAUCCCGAUUCCCAUACUGAAAAUUCGAUAUUUUUUCGGGAUAGCAUAUCGAAAAUUUUGGGAAAAUCGAUUUGGGAUCUGUUUUUUUUUUUUCGGUUUGGUUCGGGAUUUUUGGGAAUUUUUCGCACCCGUACUGGUGUGUGAGUAGUGAGAACUGGGGUGGGGAAUGAGAGCGGUUUUAUAACUGAGCUGGUGGCCAGGUUUCAUUCCUAACCAUUUGUAAAAGAGAAAUGCUUAGACGGUCUUCAAUUUUUUAGUUAAAACGUAAAAUUUUAACUUAGAAAUAGUUUUUUUUUGUUACAAUCCUUCUAAAUAAAUUUUUAGUCGGAAAUUAUUAAAGAUGUUGUAGUCAUAUUUUGAAUAGGAAUGUGAUUGGGUAAAUCCUAGUAGAUAUGAGAAUGUAUCUUAUAUUCCUAUUAGGAGUAGAUUACCUAUUAAAUGUUGUAAUCCUAAAGGGAAAGGUUUUUACCUAUCAUACUACUAUAAAUAAAGGCACAAUGGGGUGAAUUAAACACACCUCACAAUUAAAUCAAUAUCUCUUCUCUCUAAGUGUAGCCGGCCUCCCUUCUUUCUCUCUAAACCCUAGAUCGUUCAAUCAAACAUGCUUACAACACGUUAUCAACACGUUCUUGCUAGAAGCUGAGGAAUGGACGCAUCGUAGGAGGAGACUAUCAUCCACCAAAUUCAAGGGUUUAUUCGUUUUCUGCUAAUCAGGUACGCUUAAAAUAAAAGAAGAUAUUUAAAAUGUCCACGAAGCAUGAAAACAUUCCCCAUGAUGCAUGAACCCCUCUAUGUUUAUAUUUUCCUUUCGAUAUAUAUAUAUAUAUAUAUAUAUAUAUAUAUAUAUAUAUAUAUAUAUAUACAUAUAUUUGUCAAUAUAUAUAUAUAUUUGUUUCAUGCAUUGCACAAUUAAAUUGUUAUUUGGAAUAUGUGAGUCAAAUUAUAUAAAAUAAAGGGUUUUUAUCACAAAUGGUCCCUGAAAUUGACUCACCCAAUCAAGAUGGUCCCUGAAAUUGAAAAUCGAUCAAUGUAGUCCCUGAAAAUGAUUGUUGCAAAUCAAUGUGGUCAUUCCGUCACAAUUUUGUUAAAAUUUUUGUUAAGUGCUGAUGUGGCACAUAAAUGGAUCCCAUAAAUUUAAUUAACUAUUAUUAUGUGAAUAAAAAAUAUGUAAAUAAUAAAAAACAAUUGUUAUUUUUUAUAAUUAAAAUCUUAAUAAAAAAAAAAGGAGAUGAUUGAACACUGUUCAUCUUCUUCCCCUCCUAUUCACACAAAUAUUCACAUAAAUGAUAAAAUUGGAAGGAGAAAAUCCAAUUCCCCAUAUGAAAGUCACAGCAAACUCAUAAAUCCACAAUUCAGAAAAGGAUCACAUCGCCUUCAAUCAUCAGAUUUUAAAGCUCUUUGAGGUUUUUUCAAAGGCUUUGCGUUGUGUCUCCAUCGCCACCAGUGAAUCCUCCACCUCCACCUCCACUCUAUCUCUCUAUCUCAUAAUAUCAAUUUCUCACCCUCAUCAUUCGAACACAUAAAAAAGAGUGAAGAUUUUCUUUUUUUUUUUCUUUCUUUUUUUGCAUUUCUGCCUCUUUUUGAUGGAGUGCACGGUAGCUACCGACCCUCGGAGGUACUCAAAGUCGAGAGUCAUGGUGAUGUGGACUAGCAACGGGUCGUAGGAGGACACCAUUUCUCGGUUCAACGAAACGGCGCAUUCGGCACCGUUUAGGGAGUCGAGGGCUUCGGAGAAUCGGGCCUAGGCGACGGAGCCGAGUUCGAAGGCAUCACUGUCGUUGAUCGUUCUCGUUGAGAAUGAGCGAGUCUCAAAGCAGAAGGGGGGAAAAGGAGGGAGAUACUGAAGACGAACAAAACAGCGGCGUACAGCCGGAAUGGGAGAAUUGCUCGUCGCUUUUCGUGGUAGGGGUUUGGAAUUCUGUAUUCUUGCUGGGUCUAUGGUGGGGUUUGUUGUUGGGUUUAUGAGAAAACAAAGAGAGUGAAGGAGUAACAGAAAUGGUGGGUGCGGCAAUCAUCUCCUCAUUUUAAAAAAAAAAAAAUUUUACAAUAUUUUAAUUAUAAAAAUAACAAUUGUUUUUAUUAUUUAAAUAUUUUUUAUUCACAUAAUAAUAUUUAAUUAAAUUUGUGGGACCCAUUUAUGUGCCACAUCAACACUUAACAGAAAUUUUAACGGAAUUGUGACGGAAAAAUCACAUUGAUUUGCAACCACCAUUUUCAGGGACUACAUUGAUUUAUUUUCAAUUUCAUGGACCAUUUUGAUUGGGUAGGUCAAUUUCAGGGACCAUUUGUGAUAAAAACCCUAAAAUAAAUUAGAAGUAAAUUUGGGUUUCCUAAACCCUAAAGGAAAUUGGACAUUGUAUGACACCACCUCUGUGGCAUAACAUCAGCAGCAGCCCUCUGGGCCUUGCUGCACCUAUUUGGACCCCCAAACCUUCGGCCUGAUUCACUGGCAUGGGCUUGAAGCCACAGUUCUACCUCUAAGGAGGCUCGCAGUUUUCCUAGAUCCAGUUCUACCACGACAAGCUUUACUUGUUGGGCCAUUGUCUCGCACGCACCCAGGCCCGCAGAGCUACUCCCUUCGGCGCUAGCCCACUUGAUUGGGCUUAGUUUUUCUUGCGGCUCGCAACAUAGGAAGCCAGCCUAUGCAGCUAGGCUCCCAUACGAACUUACACUCCAGCUCACGGGGCUGGGCUUUGUCCUCACGUGCCUCACCUCACAGGCCAGCUGUCGCUGGGCCUUGACCCGCACCCUCUUGAAGCCCAAACCUGCAGCUUGGGCUGCUUUUUUUUUUCCUCACCCAAGCUCGUGGCUUACAGUCCACCCUCGAGGCCUUAAAGCCUUGCCUACUCAUGGCACCCAACCUAAAUAUUUUUAGGGCUAUAUUUUCGAUCCAAUAAUAUUAUUUAGCUUCUACAAUCGACCCUGUAUGGCCCGAUUUAUUGAAUUAAUUAAAAGUGACCCGCAGUCCAUUAAUCUGAUAAUGAAUCCAAAAUUAUUGACCUGAAUAUCAUUUUUGGACAUUAACAAUUCAAUAAUUUAUUUUUAUACUUUGAACCGUUACUUACUUUCAUAGUAACGAAGCUCUCACACUUGAGUUCCCGAAGAACCUCAAAUCCACUAUAUUCAAAUUAGUAUAUUGCAUUCUGUGUUUCUUGCAGGAACCUUUCAUUAUGAACUAAUUGUUCAUAAAACUAAAUUGAUCCUAUAGUUUCAAAUUUAGUGCCUAUGAAACCCAAAGUUUUCAUUCAAAACAUACCACUUGAAACUUGUAGUUUUCAUGCACAAAUUAAACCAAUACAUGUCUAUAGAACCUGCAUGUUAUACGAUAUAUGUCUAUGGCUUACCAUAUGGCUACUCACGUUUUUCCCUCUAUUUUAGGGACAUGUCGAACUUGAACAAGCUCGAUUUCUUCGCUCUAGAAGUCUCUGGAAGAAACUAUAUGAAGUGGGUUCAAGACAUGAAGCUCCAUCUGACUGCAAAGGGCAUUAGAGCCAUCAUCGAGACACAUAUCGCCGACAAACCUGUUGACGAAACUUAGAAGGCUUUUGCAAUGAUCUUUAUUCGAAGACACAUCCAUAAUGCACUGUAGACUGAGUAUCUCACUAAGGAGGACCCACGCACCCUCUGACUUGCUCUAGCUGAUCGUUUCGAUUACCAGAAAGACAUAUACUUGCCUGAAGCAAGACACGACUGACAGUAUCUUCGCUUUCAGGACUUUAAGUCCAUGAAUGGAUACAACUUUGAAGUUUGUAGAAUCUGUUCACUGUUGAAAUUCUACAAAGUGGAACUAACCAAAUCAGAUCUCUUGGAGAAGACUUAUUCGACCUUCCAUGCCAUCAAUAUUAUCCUACAGCAACAGUAUAGGGCAUAUAAAUUCACCAAGUUUUCGGAUUUAAUCUCUAUUUUACUUCUCGCUGAAAAACUGAACCAGCUUUUAAUGAAGAAUCAUCAAUCGCGACCCAAUGGCUCGAAUGCCGCGCCUGAAGCACAUGCGACCUAUUCUAGCAAUCAUAAACGAUGAAAGAAUCGUCGUGGCCGUGACAAUAAGCGACAAGCCCAACCACGGGCCCAAGGUCAACAUAGUGCCACACCUAAGGCAAGAAAUGUGACCCAGCAGCGUCCACCACUCGCCUUUAAGACCCCAAACUUCAAGAACAAGGGCAAAACUCCCUUUCAGCCCGCUUCUACUGAACUGGACAUGUGCUAUUGCAGUGGAUCAAGGGAUCAUUGGUCACGCAUAUGCUAAGCUUCCCCUAAAUCUAUUGCCAAGUAUCAUUCACGUUGUGAGUCAAACUUUGCACAUGUGGAUCAUCCGGAAGAUGGAACUACAUCAAUGGAGAUAUCGGAUUUUCAGGAGGCAUCAACACCUAUGGAUGAAUAAAUUAGACAUGUUUUUAGGGUGUUUACCCUUAGUGGCCGAACCCACUAGGAGUGGCUGGCCUUACCCCCCUAGUUUCUAGGUUUAUGGUUUAAUUUUGAACAAUUUUUCUAAGUAUUUGGAAUAAUUUGUUUGGUUUUGGUUUGUUUUGAAUUAUGGAUUGUUAUUUGAAUGGAUAUUAUUUUCUCGAAUUGCUUAAUUGAAUGAAUGGACUUAUAUUUAUGCAUGUGACCAAUUCAAUCAAUUUAUUUCUAGGUAUGUCUAGUGGGAAAGUUAGUUGUCUCGCAGAUAGUGCAACCACGCACAUUAUCUUGUGUGAACGACACUAUUUUACUAACUUAAUACCCAAGAAAGUUCAUUUGACAACUCUUUCAGGCCCAUAUUGAAGGAUACGGAACGACACGUAUCAUGUUGUCCAAUGGUACAAUUUUAACCAUUAAGGAGGCACUCUAUUCUCCACAUUGCCGAGUUUUAGAGAUAUUUGAGAUAAUCAAUAUCAUCUUGAAACCACUUAAGAUAAUGGUUUUGAAUUUCUUUGUAUCACUUCAUACGAAUAUGGCCAGAAACAUAUUCACGAGAAGUUGGAACGUCUGCCAAGUGGGUUGUACAUCACAACCAUUCACGGCAUAGAAGCCCAAAAUGUGGCCGGCCUUAUGCUUGAGUUCUAGGACACUUUAUUGCUUUUGCAUGACCGUUUGGGACAUCUUGGACGUGACAUGAUGCGCCGUAUCCUCAAAUCUUCACACGGGCAUAAGUUACAUCCCUAUGUUGGACUCCCGCCAUGCAAAACGUGUUAUUUAGGGAAGUUAAAUACUCAACCCUCCUAUACAAAGAUUAUUCACGACCCUCCUAAAUUUCUUCAAAUGAUUCAAUGGGACAUUUGUGGACCUAUCCAACUAAUUUGCAGACCAUUUAGAUACUUUAUGGUGUUGGUUGAUACAUCGACAAGAUGGUCACAUGUUUGCCUAUUGUCCACACGCAACGUCGCGUUUGCUAAACUCCUAGCUCAAAUCAUUAAGCUAAGGGUUCACCACCCUGAUUAUUCGAUUAAGUCGAUUUAACUGGAUAAGGCUGGAGAGUUUACAUCACAGACUUUUGACAAUUAUUGCAUGUCAGUAGAGAUUGAUGUGGAACAUCAUGUACCCCAUGUUCACACCCAAAACGGCCUAGCAGAAGCUUUUAUAAAGCGCCUUCAAUUGAUCGCUCGAACUUUGGUUAUGAGAACCAAACUGCAGGUAUCUGCCUAGGGCUAUGCAAUAUUGCACACAGCUAUGUUGGUCCACUUGAGGCCCACCGUAACUCAACCACAUUCAUCGUUACAGUUGGUUAGUGGAUACGAGCCUGACAUCUAGCAUUUACGGGUGUUUGGGUGCGCCAUUUAUGUGCCAAUAACGCCGCCGCUACGUACCAAAAUAGGUCAUCAGAGAAAAAUAGGAAUCUAUGUUGGUUAUAAAUCAUGAUUCGCUACUUAGAACCCUUGAUAGAAGAUCUCUUUAUCGCACAUUUUGCGGAUUAUCACUUUGAUGAGACAGUUUUCCCAUCGUUAGGAUGAGAUAAGCAUGCUAACGUUCCCAUAGAACGCCGCGAAUUGUAGUGGUAUGCUUCCAUGAUGUCUCAUUUAGAUCCCCGCACUGCCUAGUCUGAAAUUGAGGUGCUACGAAUUAUAGAUCUUCAGAGCAUUGCUCAAAGCAUGUCGAAUGCUUUUAAUGAUCUAGCAAAGGUGACAAGAUCACAUAUACCCGCUGUAAACACACCUGCAAGGAUAAAUGUACCCCACGUACGUCAACAACCCACCUGGGAAGGCCGGACUAUCCCCGAAGGUGGGGAGGUCGCACCCUCCACGCGGUAAGGUACAUUGGCGGCUAGCCAAUCACCUGUUCCGACCCUAAAGCGUGGUAGGCCCUUUGGUUCAAAGGAUUCACAACCCUAAAAGAGGAAAAUUGCACCAACUUGUGACCCUAUUUUGAAUCUGACCAUAGCUCACUCAUCCGUUCCAACGCAUGAGGUUAUUCUAGAUUACAGUGAUGCUUCAGACGAAACAUGCUAGCCUCCCGAGAAUCACAAGAUUUCGGUCCACUACGCAGUAUUGGAUGAAGUUUGGAAUAGGAAUAAGAUGAUCGUCGAUGAUGUAUUCGCGUACUCAGUAGUUACUGACAUCAUACUUAGCAAUGACAUUGAACCAUGUUCCGUCGAUAAAUGUUGACGUAUAACUGAUUGGUCAAACUGGAAAUAAGCAAUCAAGGUCGAACCCGAUUCACUCGCGAAACGUAAAGUGUUUGGACGUAUCGUUCCAACACCACCACGCGUGAAGCCUGUUGGUUACAAGUAGGUUUUCGUGAGGAAGCGUAAUGAGAAUAAUGAAAUAAUGCGAUACAAAGCACACCUCGUAGCGUAAGGCUUCUCUCAGCACCCUGUGAUUGAUUACGAGGAGACAUAUUCCCCCGUAAUGGACGUUAUAACGUUCCGCUACCUAAUAAGUUUGGUAGUUUCUGAAAAACUGAAUAUGCAGCUUAUGAACGUGGUAACUGCGUAUCUUUAUGGGGAUCUAGAUAUGGAAAUUUACAUGAAAGUUCCAGAAUGACUUUCAUUGACUAGUUCAAAUAGUUCUAAACCAUGGAACACUCUCUCAAUUAGGUUGAGGAGGUCACUCUACAGAUUGAAACAAUCCAGGCGGAUGUGGUAUAACUGUCUGAGUGAAUAUUUGACAAGUCAGGGUUAUAUGAACAACAAAUUAUGCCUAUGCGUGUUCAUAAAGAAGUCACAUUCCGAAUUUGCAAUCGUUGCAAUUUAUGUCGAUGACAUGAACCUCAUUAGGAUUUCCACAGAGCUUAAGGAAAUUGCUGCACACUUGAAAUUGAAAUUUGACAUGAAUGAUCUUGGAAAACUCGAUACUGUCUUGGCCUGGAGAUCGAGAAUUGUUUGGAUGAAAUCCUAGUACAUCAAUCGAACUACACCCAAAAGGUGUUGUGUCGUUUUAAUGAGGAUAAAGCGAAACCUUCAAGUACACCCAUGGUCAUUCGAACUAUAGAUGCUAAACGAGAUCCCUUCCAUCCAAAGGAAGAUGAGGAAGAGAUUUUGGAACUUGAAGUUCCUUACCUAAGUGCAAUUGGGGCUUUAUUAUACUUGGCUCAGUGCACUAGACCUGACAUCUCUUUCGCUGUGAAUCUUUUGGCAAGAUACAGUAAUGCGCCCACAUGCGAGCACUAGAAUGGUGUUAAAGAUAUUUUCCGCUACCUCAAAGGUACAACGGAUUUGGGCUUGUUCUAUACCCGCAAAUCUCUGAGUUUUGCCGCCCCUUAUGGUCUUUAGAUUGAUCUUCGCCUUGUUGGUUACGCAGAUGCUGAAUAUAUGUCUGACCCACAUAGAGCAUGUUCUCAAACGGGUUAUGUCUUUACUGUUGAAGACACCGCUAUAUCUUGGAGGUCUACUAAGCAAACGUUAGUUGCGACUUUGUCUAACCAUGAUGAAAUUUUCGCCCUGCAUGAAGCAUUGCAUAAAUGCUUCUGGUUGAGAGAAGUUAUAAGACAUAUUUGAAGCACUAGUAGUCUUACAUCAGUCGUUGACCUUUCUAUGACAAUCUUUGAAAACAAUGCGGCAUGUAUCGAGCAGUUGAAUAAGGGAUACAUCAAGAGAGACAACACCAAACACAUAGCGCCGAAGUUCUUUUACUCAUACCAGUAGCAGCAGCAUCAACAUUAGAACAUUGAAGUCAAGCAAAUCCAUUCCCAAGACAACAUGGUUGAUCUUUUCACCAAGUCAUUGCCCAAGUCUACAUUUCAGAAGCUCGUCCAAGGAAUUGGUAUGCGUAAAUUAUCUGAGUUGAAUCACUUGUAGUUCUCUUAUUUAGAAGUUAUGUCUAACUCAGAGGGAGUAUCUAGAAGCAUACUCACAUGAUCUUAAUGUACUAUUUUACUAUGAUUAGAAGCAUUUUUCCCACUGGGUUUUUGCUACCUAACAAGGUUUUAAUAAGGCAUCCUCCUGGGAUGAUCAUACUCUGUUGAGUUCACUACUUUCGUCCUGUUUGGCGUUUGUUUUAAGACAUUAUGUAUACUUCUCACUUUUUUCCUUGGUCUAUGAGUUUUUCCCAUUCCUUGGGUUUUACCAUAGCGAGGCUUUUGUGAGUUUUACUACAAAUGCAUACUUCACAUAAAUUUGAGACUCGCGAUCACUCGUUGUGCCGAUGACUUCAUCAACUAUUCUACCUUAUCUGCUGAAAAUCUGAUGCGAUGGUUUGUUGAGUAUUUACACACUCAAGGGGGAGUGUUGCAAUCAUAUUUAGAAUAAGAAUGUGAUUGUGUAAAUCCUAGGGAAUCUGGAAAUAUAUCUUAUAUUCCUAUUAGGAGUAGAUUACCUAUUAAAUGUUGUAAUCCUAAAGGGAAAGGUUUUUACCUCUCCUACUACUAUAAAUAAAGGCACAAUGUGGUGAAUCAAACACACCUCACAACCAAAUCAAUCUCUCUUCUCUCUAAGUGUAGUCGGUCCUCUCUCUCUCUAAACCCUAGAUCGUUCAAUCAAAAAGACUUACAACAAAAGAAUGUAUUUAGGAUAAUUUUUUUCUUGAAGUAACUUUAAAAAAAAAAUUAUGUAGACUAUCCUAAUUUAAUUUUAUGAAUAUUUUAAUCUAAAAUUUUUAAUUCUUAUCAAUAUUGAAAAAUUACAAAACCGACACCAUAAAAGUUGUGAAAUAUUAUGAAAGAAUAUGAAACACAUGAAAUAAUUUUUUCAUUAGCCACUGGAUUUAAAUGUGUACCGUAAGAUCUUUUUUUACCAUUAAAUAUGGUCAUAUUAGAUCUUAGUCAUUGAAUUCAAUAAGUUUAUAAAUAUAAAUCUAAAAAAAUUAGAUAUAUAUGAUGGGCCGGCUCACUAACUCGGAGGAUUCAGACCUAAAGUUGCCCCCAAAAUAGAUAUUUGGAUAGGAUACGAAAAGUUUCUGUCAAUUUCGGUGAAAGUUGUCAAAAGCAAAAAUCAAUUUUGUUUGGAUGAUUGCAAUGAUUGGAUAGGAUACGAAAAGUUCGGGGCAACGAUGAUUAAAGAAAAAAAUAGGAAGUCUCCGCGCAAGUUCCCAAUUGUAAACAUUUGAAUAAAAAUGUAGAAAAAUUGAAAAAAUAAUGAAAAAGUAUUCGCUAGUGGAAGUUUGUUUAUUUUCCUUAUGCUCGUUGGUAGAUUGAGAGCUAUAACUUUCUUGGACUUGGUGUUUGUUGAAAACUUUCGUUUAGGGAUGAGUUCGGUUUCCAUUAGUUCUCCGGAUGAGUUCGGUUCCAUCGGUUCGAAUUUUUGUUCGGAUUUUCUUCCGAUUUUUUCGGUUCGAUUUGCAUUUAAUUCGGCUCGGUUUAAGGUUUAGACAAUGAUGAACGGAGCAUGAUCUCAACAUCUCAUCAUUAGCUAGACCAAAUGUGGUUGCUGCAGACGAAGCAUAUAUCUCUCAGAAGGAGAACAAUGACGAUCAUUUCAUGGGCAUAUUACUCGUUUGUGAUCUUAUCAUUAGCUAGUCCAAACGUACUUGGAACACGGGAUGAUUUUAGAGGUUUGUGAUCUUAUCAUUAGCUAGUCCAAACCUCUAAAAUCAUAAUUCGGUUAGGUUUGAUUUGAUUUUCUUUUUUUGAUUUUUUUAUUCAAUUUUGGUUCACUGUUCAAUUUGAUUUUUUUCGGGGUGACCCCUGUCGAACCCACCACUACUUUCCUCCUUGCCAAGUUCUGUUUCAACUCUUUUGUUUAACUAGCAUCACUUGUAUGAAACAUAGAUUUUUGUACGACUACGACUAACCAAGAAAAUAAACCAAAAUACAUUUAGGAUGAUCCAUAGGGCCAAAAUGUAUGAUAGUUUAACGAAAAAAAGUACUUUUGGAUUAAAUUUACUAACAAACUACACCACGAAGAUUUAAAUUCUAAUUUUUUUUUUACCGUAAAACUAUCUUUCAAUUACCUUAUCACCAUUUAUUUGAUUAAGGCCAAAAUUUUAUUGUUAUAAAGAACUGUGAAAGAAUACGAAAUAAUUAUAAUAAGAGUAAAUUGUAGCAAUUGUCUUUUAACUUUAACUCAAUUGGAGCAAUGAUCCCUUAACUCAUCAAAACGUGCAGUUAUAGUCCCUCAACUAAAAAUUCAUUACCAUUGGUCUCUCAACUUUAAUCCAACUGAAGAAAUUGUCACUCAACCUUAACCCAAUUGUAGCAAUGGUCUUUUCAACAUAACUCAUUUUAACAAAAUUCUGACAAAGUUGAUGAAAAGGACAAUAGCUACACGUUUUGAUGAGUUGAGAGACCGCAAUUGUAGCAAUGAACCUUCCAAUAUAACUUAUUUUGAUAAAAUUUUGACGAAAUUAACGAAAAGGGUCAUAGCUACAUAUUUUGAUGAGUUGAGGAAUCAUUGCUCCAAUUUGAUUAAAGUUGAGAAACCUUUGUUACAAUUUACUCUUAUAAUAAUUUACAAGUGAUAAAAUUUCAAACUCGAAAUGGAUAGGUGAAAACUCAAAACCUUCUUCACUAAUAUAAAAUGUGAAAGAAUAUUCACUAAUAGUAAGAGCAGUAAUUUAUGCAAUGUAAACAUUUUUUUGGUCCCAAAUUUAUGGGAAACAAUUUCUAAUUAUUCUCCAAUUGAUUAAAAGGAAACUAAUGAAAAUGGCUUGAAAAUUUUGAGUUUUAAUGAUAAGAACAAAAUAAAAGGUAAAAUAAAUAGUAUCAAAAUUGACUUUUUAAUGUAAAAAUAUGAUUUUUCGUUAAAAUAAACAGUACCAGUAGCUUUUCGUUAAACUUCCUUUAAUUAAACCCUACAAUUCGUAAAAUUAGAAAAUUAUACGAGUGGGAAGCCACACUCUCACUCACGCCCCUCCCCAGCCACCUCUGCUCGAACCAGUUGCGCACUCGCCCAUCCAAUCUCCGACCGAAAAUUUUCCAAAUUUCCCUCUCUUUCGAUUCCAAUCCACACAUUUACCGGAAUCACAAUCCCACUCCCGGACUCUCAGUCUGAUGUAAAGCUCGGCCAGCAGCACAAGCAUGACCGAUAAGCCACCAGAAGCACCAUCUCCGUCACCGCCGUCACCUCCGCCAUUAAGGCAACUCUCUCCCCAAGACUGGGAGUCGUUAAUCGACGACUUCCAGCACGGCGGCGCACGCCAGGACAGAUGGACCUCCGCUCAGCCGAUACUCCUCUCCCUCCUCGACCAAGCCCUCUCCUCCAUCGCCAAGCGCGACUUCCCCCUCAAGCUCCACGUCAUCACCUUCCUCGAGGAGUUCUCCGACCCGCUAUUCUCCACUGCCAUCGCUAACGACGCCGUUUCCGGACGCAAAGUCCUCCACCGCCUCAUCGAAACCCUACGCGCCCUGAUCCAGACACCGCCCGAUGGGGUCCACAUCACGUUCGCCCUCAAGGAGCAGAUGAUGAUCUCUGUCACCUCCGUCGUCGUCUCUCUCGACGACGACGUCGUUCCGAUCUCCACCGUCGAAUCGCUGGUGGAGCUGCUGUUAACCGUGAUCAACCGUCCCAAUCAUGGCGUCGACCGUCAGGCGCGUGCCGUGGCGUGCGAGUGCCUGCGCGAGAUGGAGAAGGCUCGGCCCUCCUUGCUCUCUGAAAUCGGCGGACAUCUCUGGAGCUUGUGCCAGAACGAGAGGACUCACGCCGCUCAGAGCUACAUUCUGUUGUUCACCACCGUCGUUCACAACAUCGUCAUCGAAAAUCUCAGCGUUUCAAUUCUCAAUACGACGGCGCCUUUGGUGCCGUUCAGUUCGCCGCAGAGCGGGUCAGGUAAGGAGGGUUCGGGUGGGUUGAAUUACAAGGAGCUGAGGAGGGCAAUGGCUUUUCUGCUAGAGUGGCCGCAAGUGUUGACGCCGUGUGCGAUGGUUGAGUUCUUGGCUCUGGUAAUGCCAAUGGCGGCGGCAUUGGAGCUCCAAGCUUCGAUGCUCAAGGUCCAAUUUUUUGGGAUGGUUUAUUCGUCUGAUCCUAUGCUCUGCCAUGUUGUUUUGACCAUGUUUCCGAGGUUCUGGGACGCGUUUGAUGGGCAGGAAGGCGACAUUGCAUGGAGGCUUGUGCUGCUAUCCAAAGAAUCGCAGCACCACUUGGUUUUUCGAUUGCUGGCGGUGCAUUGGUUGCUUGGUUUUGGUCAGUUAGUGUUGAGAAGGGAAGUAAAGAAAGUGAAGACCAUUGUUGAUAUGGGUUCGAGAUUCUAUCCGAGUGUGUUCGAUCCCCUUGCUUUGAAAGCCUUGAAGCUUGACCUGCUUGCGUUUUGCUCUGUUUGUGUUGAUGUCUUGAAACCGGAGAAGAGUGUUUCGGGCGAGGAUGGUGAGGUGAAUGAUAAGUUGGUGGUGAAGUUGUUUGAAGAUGGACUUGUUUGUGUAUCAGCAUUCAAAUGGUUGCCUCCGCGAAGUACUGAAACCUCGGUGGCAUUUCGAACUUUGCACAGGUUCUUGAUUGGAGCUUCGUCUCAUUCAGACAAUGAUCCUUCCACCACCAGAAGUCUCAUGGACUCCACCACUUUCAGGAAUAUACAGGUAGUUUUCUCUCUUCCUCAGUCUCCAUCUAUGUGUCCUACUACAGUUAUAAGCAUUGGAUAUGAAAUUUUCUAUUUAUGGUUGAGGAUAUUUUAGGUUUGGACAACAAUUAGUCCUCCCCUUAGCUUUGAGUUUGAAUUGAAUUAACAGAAUUUUAGAAGGAUAAUUUUGCGCUGUUUUACUCGGAUUACGGAUUAGCUGAUGUGUUUGGAUUCGUCGCAGUUCUUGUUAAACAUAUAUUAUUUAUUAGGAAUACUGCAAGAACCAAACGAUUGUUACCUGCUCAUAUGAUAGUGUAUGCAUUGAUGUAAUAGUUAUAUCUAGCAACUAAGAAAUUUUGAGGUCAUCUACCUCAAUAGUUGGUGUCUAAAAUUUGGGAAAACUGUUGAUGCUUCUAAAACUAAUAGUAUUUAUGUCUAAUAUAUUGCCAUUAGUUGUAGUGACAUUGUUUCUCCUAAAAAUAUUGGUUUUUCAUAGAUUUAGCGUGAUGGACUUUUUGUAUGGUCUUUUCCCCUUUUAAAGUAUGAAGGAUGAUGUUCGUGUAAUCGAGUUUUUCUUUUUUCUCUAAAUCCAAUCUAGCCUUGGAAGUGUUUGCUAUGCUUGAUGUUAAAUAAAAAGUAGCUGUAAGCUUUCCCUUAACUAUUGCUUGUGACUUGUUAAGUGGUUGUGUGAUGUGGAAUGCAUGUCUUGGUCGGGAUUAGAUGUUAGAAUGCUAUUAAGUGAUCAGUAAAGAUCAAUUGACACACAUUUAACGUAACAACAAUGUGCCAAAGAAAAAGGUAAAUCAUUCCUAUUAGUGUCUGUUUGGCACCGCCAAGGAUAUCAAAGUUGCUUAAUUUCCCAAGAAUCUGAUCACGAGCAUUUGUUAAGCUUCUUAUGGUCAAGGAAAAAUUAUUUGUGUAAAGAUGAUUUUGAUUGUUUGCUUCUUUGGUACUAUUACUUUUUAAUCUUAAUUAUGCAAUUGCUUCACUGGUCUUUAGUUCAGAGGAAAGUGGGAAGGUGUUUUCAUCCUUGUGUCUGUGCCAUUUUUAAUGUCUUUAAAUUUCUAUGUCCAGGGGAUGUUGGUGGACCUGAUGUUGGAGUGUCGGAGAUUGGUCCCUGUGGUAGUUGUUUUGACUGAUCGCUUGUUGGGUUGUCAAAAGCACCGUUGGUUGGGAGAGCGCCUGCUUCAGGCAUUUGAUGAGCAUUUGCUUCCAAAAGUGAAAUUGGAUUACAGUUUGGUUUCUUUCUUUCCAAUAUUUGAUAGAAUUGCUGAAAGUGAUACAAUUCCUCCUUGUGGAUUGCUAGAGCUUCUCACCAAGUUCAUGGCCUUCCUUGUUGGUAAACAUGGCCCAUAUACAGGACUAAGAUCAUGGUCUCAGGGAAGCAGAGUUCUUGGCAUCUGUCGAACCUUGUUGAUGCAUCACAAGAGCUCUCGAUUGUUCCUUAGAAUGUCUCGCCUUUUGGCAUUUACUUGCCUUUACUUUCCUGAUUUGGAGGUUCGUGACAAUGCAAGGUAUGAUUAAUAAACCUUCUUUUUCUCUCCUGGACUUUUUCCUUGAGAAUCGUACCCUUUCUUUUUGUAUGGGAACUAUAUACGAUUUAGUAAGCUUGGCAAUAGCCACAAUUAGCUGAUGACAUGUUGGUUUGUUAUGGUCUUCGACAAUUAGCUGAUGACAUGUUGGUUCGUUAUGGUCUUUCUGCAGGAUCUACCUUCGGCUUCUUAUCUGUGUGCCGGGAAAGAAGCUCAGGGACCUGCUGAAUCUUGGGGAGCAACUCAGUAUUUCACCGUCUUCACAUGCCAAUUUCAAUGUCCAGACUCCUCGCUUUUCUCAUAGUCUCAAGAAGUCUAAGACUGUCUCUUCAUAUGUCCACCUUGAGCGCGUAAUCCCCCUACUAGUCAAACAGUCUUGGUCCUUGUCUUUAUCAUCUUUGGGUAUUGGAAGUAGUGAUCCUGGUUACUUAGGAGGCAUCACGGACAUUGAACCCAUAAUAGAGGAUAGUGAUAUUGAUGACAGUAGUGAUGUCCAGAUUGCACCAGAAGCUCAAGCAAUUGAUGACAAUAAUAAUGUCCAAAUUAUCCCUGAAGAUCGAAGAAUUGAUCAACCACCGGAGCCAUUGCGUGUGACGGAUUCAAAGCUUUCGGAGAUAUUAAGAAUGCUGAGGAUGCAUUUCUCAUGCAUUCCUGACUUCAGACAUAUGCCAGGAAUUAAGGUUAGACUAUCAUGUAGUUUGAGGUUUGAAUCUGAGCCUUUCAAUCGAAUAUGGGGAGUUGAUUGCCAUGCUGGUGGUUCGAAUGAAUUAGAUGCCCUUCCUGCUAUAUAUGCAACAGUGCUAAAAUUUUCGUCCUCUGCAGCAUACGGGUCCAUUCCAUCAUAUCAUAUACCUUUUCUUCUAGGUGAGCCUCCCAGAAAAACUAAUAUACCUGAUCAGACCGCCUCAUUAGCUAUUGUUCCUGUAGAAAAUGCUUGUGGAGAAGAGGAACCGUAUAGAGCUCCUGUAACGAUUGAAUUGGAACCACGGGAACCCACGCCUGGUCUAAUUGAUGUUUCAAUUGAAACAAGUGCUGAAAGUGGUCAGAUAAUCAGGGGACAGCUUCACACAAUCACUGUUGGCAUAGAGGAUAUGUUUCUCAAGGCUAUUGUACCACCUGACAUCCAGAAUGAUUCCAUACCUGGUUAUUACUUAGAUUUGUUCAGUGCUCUUUGGGAGGCAUGUGGCACUUCAAACACUGCACGCGAGACAUUUCAGUUGAAAGGAGGCAAAGGGGUCACUGCUAUCAGUGGUACUCGGUCGGUCAAGCUACUUGAAGUCCCUGCAUCAUCCUUGAUUCAAGCUACCGAGCGCUAUUUGGCACCCUUCGUUGUAAGUGUGAUUGGUGAACCACUUGUUACUACUGUAAAGGAAGGAGGAAUCAUUAGGGACAUAAUCUGGAAGGAUGAGGCCUCAGAUUCGUCCCUUGAUAUUACUAGCUCCGAGACCAAUUUUCAUAGAGGCCCACUUCAUCUUACAUACGGUGAUGAUGCAGAGGAAAGGGACAGUCCUGUCAAUACCCGCAAAACAAAUAUGGGUAGCUUUCUUAUUUUGAUAUUUCUUCCACCAAGGUAUCAUCUUCUCUUCCAAAUGGAAGUGUCUGAUGUUUCAACGUUAGUACGAAUUCGAACUGAUCACUGGCCGUGCUUAGCGUAUACUGAUGAUUAUUUGGAAGCAUUAUUUUUGGCAUAGGAGUUUGUUUAUUUCUACCGUGCAAGCACGUUACAUGGGGAUUCUCAUCGGUGCGGCUCUAAGGUCAUUGGCAUUUUGUUCUAUAUCUUCUCUCCAUAUUUAUUCGUACAGAGAAGGGUAAAUUUUUUGCACCCAGAAUAAACUCUGCUGUAAAUUCAUCUCGAGUUAUUUUACCUUGUAUUCUUUUGUUGUAUUGAGAAUUUAGAUGUGCAAUUUUGGGGCGUUUUUCGUUGUGUAGGUAGGAUUUUGUAACCAAAAGGUUGAAGUAAUUUGUAAGUUGAUUCUUUCAUUGCAAUCAAUACAAAUUUUGUUGGCAUAUCUACUAGUAAAUACCUUGUGAAUUUCAAAUUUGAGCAAAAGAGUGCUUUGCUCUUUCAGGCGAGAGAAACUUAUAUAUACGCAAGUUUCCCUUGCCUGGAUGAUAAGUGUCACGUGAGGAGAGGAAUAGAGAGAGGAAAAUGAACCCCGUAACGUCAGAAUUCUUCUCCAAUGAGGCAAUAGGAGUGUCCGCAUAUACUUUUGUUCAUCGAGAGCCUUUUGUCGAAAAAUGAAAUAAGAGUAAAAAAAUAAUGACCUAAAACUAUUUGAGUGCAUUCAAAUAAUUUGGUGAACUGCAAACUACAGAAAAGUUAGUUCGUUCCUUAUCUACACCUAACCACAACAUCCAAAGAUUACGCGAUAUUUUAACCAAGAAAACAAGAAAAUUGUUACGUGAGAUCCUGAAGUCCUCUUUGACCCCCAUAAGCCCCUGCUGCUUAUGGCCACAUAUGUUACAAAAGCCAACCUCACCAAAUUUCCUGGCAGGUUAGCUCACAUAAUGCCCUGUUUUCCGGCGGUGACGGCUAUAAUCUGAUACAAACCUGAAGAAUAGGCCACAUCCCUCAACCUUGCACUGGUAUGGCCGCUCUCCGGUGUGCACACGUAUGUGCUCAGUGCGGGCCCAUGCCCACUUGAACGACAUGGAGCAGCCUUUCCAUGGGCACUUGAGGGGCCUAUCAUCGUCAUGCACACGGCUGUGACUCACUGCGUACUUGUGGGAACUGAACCUCUUGCCACACCCUUCAUGUGGGCAGCGGUUACGCUUGUGCAACAUUAGCUCCGCCUUUGCUGCAAACCUCAUCCGGCAGCUUUCUAUGUCGCACCUGUGAGACUUCCUUGCGUGUUCUUUCUUGGGAGGAACAGGAACAUCUGAAGGUUUCUUCACCUUCUUUGUCACCGGUUUCUCCUCCACCUCUUCUUGGAUGUUGUCCAUCCCACUUGUACUCGUUGCAUCUUUCCCAGCCCUUGGUCUCAACCCCUCACACGGCCCCCUAAUAAAUCCAUUGAAUUCGAGGUUAUCAUCUAUUAUUUGCUCCAGUUCUCUCUUUCUUUUUCUUCUCAUUUCAGGACUUGGUGCAACCGCACUUGAGGACCCGAUGUUUUCCAUCUCUUUAUCAUGUAGAGAUAAGCAAACCUUACCACCAUUGCGUAAGUCUGGAGCAGCAUGAGGCUUUCUUUUAGCUCUAGAAUAUGUUUGGAUUGAAGGAGAUGGUUGGCAUUUUGAAGUAUCUCGACUAGGAAUGAGUUCCUCAAUACCAUUUGUAGUACGAUUUUUCCACCCUUCAUCCAAGGCCAUAGAACCGCUGAUGUUUAUUGUUUCACAGGUCACUCUGGGAACCUCAAAUUCUUCAACCAAGCGAGGUGUGGGCUGCAUUUCUCUUUCUAUGAUGAGACUAAGUAUGGGUGCCUCUAUAGCUCCAUUUGUAGUCUGGACUUCUUGCUGCACUACAGUGUCUGAAGUCACACCAUCAUCUGUGCCUUCCACAGAAGAGCCUCCCCUUGGCACUUCAGAAGAUUCUUCCACUGAGAUACAAGGUUGAAUUAUUUCCAUUUGUGUCAAUGAAGUUGAGACAUGUCCCCCCCCACUCCUAUCUGCAGUUAGAAAUUCUUCACUGUGUGAAAUUGGACCAGGGCAAAAAUCUGCUGCAGCACAGAGCUCUCUUGAAGCUCCAGAAGUUCCUUCCACCGAAACAGGAGAGGGCUCAAUUAGUUGUCUUCUAGGACUUAAACUGGGUUCCUCAUUUUCUCCUUUCGGAGUUUUAAUUUCUUCUUCCAGUUUGAAUACUAAAGAUACAUCAUCAUUCGAGUCUUCAGCAUUAUGGGAACCACAUGGAAAUGGCGCCUUGUUUUUACUUCUGUUGGUAGUUUCGAUUUCUUGCUGCACUUCAUCAUCCGAAGUCAUGGAAUCACAAACUUCAUUGCUUAUGCAAGAUUUCUCUAGGACUGUAUUCACCAUCUGUGGUUCAGAACUUGUAACAAAUGAGUCGGCAGCACAUAAGUUUGUUGUCUCGGCAAGAACAGAUACGCCAGCCAUAACUUGGGACUGCCCUUCCGAUACUAGAUUACAAUUGUCACUGGUAUUGUUAAUUUUUUCCAUUUUCUGCUCCUCUAUUUGCAUUGGAACCGUUUCAUCAGCUGCAAUGACAGGUGGAGUAGCAGACUUUCUUUGACUGGCUUCUUCAAGUAUCCUCAUCUCAUCUUGCACAUCAGAAAUAUUUCUUGAUGCAAACUUACAACCUUCACCGUUCAUGUUUCUUUCUUCAAAACUGUGAUUAUCAACCUGUGCCUCAACACUACCAGCUAUUAACAUGGCAGUGGUAAGUGUAUCCACAACUUGUGAAGGAGUAGAGUACAAACUGAUAUCCCUGGUUGCUUCAGACAUCUGGACAACAGGAUACAUUUCAGACAUUCCGCUUGACGCAGAGGAAUCAAAUCUUGCACAACUGCUUGUGGAAUUCCCAUUGUUGCAAAUGUUGCUUUCUGAUGCCAUUCUACUAUCUUUACCACCCUCAACACCUGUACCAGGGUGCCCACAGACCCUACCCGCUCCUGUAGAACUCCCUACUUUAAGCUUCGACUUCCUUCUUGAAUAUUGAAUUAUUUUUUCUUCCCUCUUAAAAGAGGCCCCAUCUGACCUUCCACACACUACUUCAUCCUUUUCCUCAAUGUUCUCACAUGGUUUACAAUCCACUGGAUGAUUAAGCUUUUUAGAGCGAGAUCUUCUUGAUUGCCAUUUGACGGCCAGAAAAUUUGAGUUGGGACUUUGUUUGGAGAACAAACCACCCAAUGUCAAUGCAUGCCGGACUUGCUUUGAGGACGAAUUCUUUCUGACCUUGACACAGUAGCGUAGGUUGAUACCCAACUUCGAGGUCCAGUCUUCUCCACAUUCAUCACGUUCAUCAUCAACAGCAAGCUCUAUCAAAUUCAGAUCUUCCUGUGAUGCAUUAUCCAAUGGAACCUCAUUAUAAUUGAAAGAGCAACCAAUCUCCUCUGCAAUUGCUGCAGCCGGAGCUUUUAUUUUCUGAUAGUCUGCAGAAAUUCAAAUAGUAAAGCAUCAACUAACAAGAAGUAAAAACAACUUUGCAAAUUAAGAGAGUAUCAAAUACUAUUCUUCUAACCAAUCUUACCAGAAUGGCAAAUUACAAGCAUGUUCGCUCCACCUUUGCACUGCAACAGGUCCACAAUUUCCACAGCGUGCUCAAGGCAGAAACUCCUUGGUCUCAGAAACUUAUUAACAGUAUUCCAACCCCUUUUUAGAUUGUCUGUGGAAGGAAUUAGGGGAUCUUUCGCAGGUGGGAAAAAGUUGGGAACAGAAACGAGGUCCUCUUCUGCAGAACAAAGAAAAUAAUAGAUUUGAAAAUUUGCUUUCAUGAAGAACACCUGGAAACAACGUAUAACUCCCCAGUUCCUACUACUACUCCACAAUUGAAAAACUUUAGAACAUUAAGAAGCUAUCAACCCCAUUUACAUGAUACUACAAUACAGAGAACGACUGAUAAAGUUGACAAUUAGCUGAUUAAAGGUCCAAAAUCAGAAACAGAAGCAGCAGGCCAUAAACAUUGUGCACAGGAAGAUCCCACAAAUUAAUCACAGACGCUUCACAACUGGAAGUGUGAAGAAAUUGAGGCAGUUCUUAGUACCCCAAUGUCAAAACCUAUACAGCUGACUGACAGAACAUCACUAGACUCCCAAAAGACCUGAACACCAUUAUAUAGACAAAUAGCUAUUUUUGAGGGCUCCGAUACUGUAUACUGUUAAGUUAUAUCCACUUUGAAUUUUCUUUUCUCUCAAUCACUAAAACUAAAACUAGGAAGUUAAUUGUGAAAACCAAACACAUGAGCAAUGAAAAUGUGGAUCGAAAUUCCUAUACCUGUAACACAUCCCAUGACUGAUGCAUGACAGUCUGGAAACGAAUGAGACUUUUCAAGUCCUGAAAUGCCAGGGGAACCUUGAGCGGUAAAAUUUUCAGUUUGCAGUUUCAUUGAUGCUUUCUCAGAUGGUUGCACAACAGACAUAAAUGGAAACCCAAGUAUACCACAAGCCACGCAUGCCAAUGUGCCAGAGUCGACUUGAAAGUCCCGUGAUAAAUCAUCACUUCCCAAAUACAAAUCAUUCAUAUUUUCCAUAUACAAACUCAUCUCGUCAAUCAGCAUUUUCUGAUCAUUAUCGUAAUUUCCACACUGAAUAUGGGUAGCAUCUUCCUUUGGAUUCAUAUCAACAGCAGCACCACCACUGGGUGUUACGGAAUCUUUACUUGUAUAUGGAAGUAAAUCAUGGUUCCAUAAUACUGCGUGGUAACUUGAUUCUUUUCCAAGAAGGACAGACAACACAUUGUUUUCUUUUAAUAUAUCUUCAAUAAAAGCCUUCUUGACUGAAAACUCCUUUUCUUCCUUUUGCCGAUCUCUCCUACGCGAACUUCGCACACCUGGUAGUAGGGACCUUGGCACCCUGGAAUAAUAACAAAACCCCAAAACCAAACAUAAGCAACAACUGCAACUGGCUGGCCUAGUUGACAACUUUAUCAAGACAAGCAAAGACACGAUGCAGUUCUAUCUAACUGAGGCAUAGAAGAGUAAAUACAAAGGAACAACUUUAUCACAAUCACUAUUAUCCAUCAUCAAAGAACAAGUUCCAAAAGCAGCAUAUGACAUACUGAGACUAUCUUGUGCUCAAUGUAGUUUGAAUAAGAUGUUUAGCUGACCUCGAAACAAAAGACAUGGUCAAGAGGUAUAGCAGCUGUUGAUGGGAGAGCAUAGGAAGGUAAUUCAUAGCAGCUCUACGUACUGCAGCUUCUUUAGCUACUUUAAGCCAUUGUGGUGUUCCAAAGUUAGCAGCUUCCCCACAGUUAAAACCUAUAGUAUUCCAUCAAAGACUCAAGAUAAGCAACAAUGCUGAAGAGGCAAUAAAAAUUUGUUUCAAAUAACACCAGAAGAAAAUUUAUGAAAACCAAGGACUUGCAGACGAAAAUGGGAAACAUCAUGUGCAUGCAGAAAGAACCAUGCCAUUAGUACCAUAUAAGCUAUGAUCGAAACAAAUGAAUACAAAAAAUUCUAUUGCAAAUUUGCAAUUAUCAGAAAUCAAGUUUAAAUAUCUGCAAUAGAAGUUUGUUUUAAUGGAAGAGGUCCAUGACUUUUGAUUUUAUCAUGAAAGAAUUAGGAAGAAAAGGUACUAAGGCACAAGACCUUAUCAAACUCACGUGGACUGAAGACCUUCACAUUAGCAAUCAUGAGAAAUACCAAAAAAAAAGCUGGAUGAAAGGAAUAACGUUAACACAAAAAUUGGAAAAUAAAAACAUGGUGUAGUUUUUGUGCAGAGUUAAGUCUUGACCACCUCCUGUCUAUAUCAUCUAUAAAUCAGGACGAAAAGAAUAUGCUACAGCCUACAUGAAACUGGGAGGAUACCAAUGCAACUAAAGCGUUAGUUAUUUCCACCAAUCUGGGGUUUAGCUACUAGGAUUCCUUUAUUCCGUUUAGCCAUAUCCAAGGCCAAAUUCUCUGAUAAUGCAAGAAGAGCAUUACGUGGGAAUAUUUAACCUCUUUCUAUAGUCCAUUUAUCCAAGGCACAUAACCUCCACUCUUCCUGAUGACACAACAAUCCAAGGUACUUCCUCACUUAAACUUGCAACUUUGUCUUCGGUACGUUUGAACUAAUAGCUCAACAGAAAAGUGGAAUAAAGUUUUCCAGAUUAGUUGGAGGAGGUACUGUAUACUCUCACUAUAAUGUAAAAGUAACGUAAUAAAAGUGAUACGUGCUUAUGGUUCUAGAUCAGCUCUUAUGGUCAAUAAAUCUAAGUUAAUAGACAUUACCAGAGGAUAAAUUAUUUGAAGCCUUUUGUCAUUUCUGUUUCAUCUAUGGCUAUUAAAAUCAAGUUCGGGCUCAAAGGCUACUUCUAUCACAAAGGAAUUGAAUCCUUUAGGUACUUACCCCCUUUUUCUUGUAGGUUUGAUAGAUAUACCCUAUUCUUUGUAGAACUUCUAUACCCUAUGUUUAGUGUCCAAUGCACAUGAAAUUUCUGUCUGCAACAAAUGCCAAGUUGUAAGCAUUUACAAAGUAAAAACAGGGUUCAGGCCAAAAUGUAAAAACUAUCAUAUCCACCACUACGAUAUCGGUAAGUAAUAAACAAUGUACAGUAAUUACCGUGGCUGAAUCCUACAUGGUAAGCCCUUGGAAAAGUCACAACAAAUUCACCAGAGUUCUGUAUUAACCUAAAGAAGAAACCAGAAUGAACAAAAUUAGAACAUCAAAAAGACCCAACCCAACAGAGACUCAGAUCCACAGAUCAAAUCCGAACAUUCAGCAUAAAUAAUAAAUCCUCAACUGAGUUAACAUUAUAAAUAAACCGUAGAAGUAACAAGAAGGGGCAAAAGAAAGACCCACCUGCAACAAGGAAUCCCUGCUGCAACAACAGCCUCAGGUGAAAUUAAAGUUGUUUUAUUGCCCAAUAGUGAGAGAGCAGCUGGUAAUAAGAGAAACUGGACCUGAGUUACAAAAAGGCUAUGGAAGUAAUAACACUAAACAAAUGCUCAGAAGCUCAGAGGCUUUUAGUAAACACUGAAUGAACCAACCAUAUAAGAAUUCACAUACCUAGGCGGUCAAGAUUACUACCAAAUGCCUCAGUGCGAAUAAGUUCCUCAAAAUCAAAUGCAUAAUCGCCUGGAACAGAAUACCAAGUCUUUGAAGAUCCAGUGUGAAGAAAAUUCAUACUGUGAAGCUCAUGAUCUUCAACGUGCCAAGCAAACCAACUGAACAACAUGCCAAUGUAAACCAUAGGAGAAGUAACACCCGGGAUAUCAUCGGGCAUGAAACGAGUAAGUGAACCAGGUGAACGUGCAAUCACUUGUAAGUUCCAAGGACUGUUUGAAAGCUUCCAACCAGCAGUACCUUCCAUAUCACAACAUGAAUUUGGAUUUUUUUGCCUAGAUGAUUGGGGAGUUUCAUCUGCUGAUAAUAUUUCUGGAGCAGUAGAUGAUUUGGAUGCCUCUGAACAUGUAUCCGAAACAUUCAUAUGAGUAGCAUUCUUAACUUCCUCAAUAUGGGAGUUUCUUUCGCUGAUACUGAUAAUUUCACCUUUCUUGCUAUCAGAGAUUUCAUUUCUUCUCUGGUAGGAGUUCCUCUUCCGCCUCCGCCUGUGAGAAGAGCGGAAUUGUCCCACAGGCUCUUCAAAAGCAGACCCAGGCACAUCAUUUGCAUACUCAAUAUAUAUUGGCUUCUCAGAAGCUGCCUUCCAAAACAUUUCCUCUAUAACCAAUGGGGUAACCUCCUUAAUUGAACCUAGCAUGCUCCUUGCAAAAGCCCUAGACUUAGUUUCAAACUGCUCCAAAGUAUAAAUUUCCCCACUUUGCCACACUUGCUUAUCAACACCCGAAGGCGGAUUCUGAACUACUGCCCCUUUCACCUUUUUCACACUCUGACCCAAUUCUUGGUGCCUUGUGGUAAAGACUGCCCUAGCCUCCCCAUCAUUACCACCAUCCCCAGAACCCGUACUCAUCGGAGAACAACCCUCUAAAUAAUUUACAUCACUACCCAAUUCUGGACACUUCAAAAGUGACUUAUUCAAGUUGCUAAAAACAUAUCUUUUUGAGGGUUUUGGCAAUGGUGGGAUAAUCUUGCAAAUACCAAAUCCACUAGCUUCCUUCUCGAUUUUCGAUAUAUAAGCAAUCGGGUCUGCGAAUUCAGUAUGCGUCGGCCGGAAGACGGGUGCCAAUGGCAACCCUUCGAGCCAACUGGGUCUUUCAAAAUCACCCAUUUAUAAGCAAGAUUCACAUCCGCAGCAUAUCCUACUAUACAAGCUAAUGGCACAUUGGUUUUCAAUCACAAAAGCAUUGUUCCUUGAAGUUCCAAGACCAACCCAAAAACCAAAACCCUAUAAGUGCAAAGAUUUGGGCAAAAUUUUGACAGAAUCGUAGAAAUUCAGAACCUGUAAAUUCAACGAGACUGGUUGAUACGCAUACGAUUAGCCUUCAGAAACAACCGCCAACUGCAACUGCAAAUACAGAGAGAAAGUAGAGGAGAGAGAGAGAGAGGAGAGGAAGGAGAGAGAGGGAGAGGGAGAGAGAGAGAGAGGUUUUUCUAGGUUUUAAGCGACAUUCUUGAUGCUGAGUUUGGGAGAGGCGGGGGACGGCUAAAUUGCGCGGCUAGGACACAAGAGUCACUGUUAUUUUCUGGCCGUACGACUCGGAUUGGGAUGGGGUCGCGUUGCGGUUAGUCAGGUGUAACUUAUGCAUAGGCGCGCAUUUUGGCACGAAGCCGUCCUAAAGCCUUCAACAUUAGGCUGGAAAAAUGAGGAGAUAUCAAUUUAUUAAGCUCAUAAAGCUCAUAGACGAAUCACACUUUUAUAGGGUUAAUAUAUUAAAAAGUGUUGUAGGCCUAUUUGAUUGAACGAUCUAGGGUUUAGAGAGAGACAGGGGGCCGGCUAUGGUUAGAGAGAAGAGAGAUUGAUUUAAUUGUGAGGUGUGUUUGAUUCACCUCAUUGUGUCUUCAUUUAUAGUAGUAGAAUAGGUAAAAACUUUUCCCUUUAGGAUUACAACAUUUAAUAGGUAAUUUACUCCUAAUAGGAAUAUAAGAUACAUUCUCAGAUUCCCUAGGAUUUACACAAUCACAUUUCUAUUCUAAAUAUGACUGCAACACUCCCCAUUGAGUGUGUAAAUACUCAACAAACCAUCGCAUCAGAUGAAGUCAUCGUCACAACGGGUGAUCGCGAGUCUUAAAUUUAUUUGAAGUAUGCAUUUGUAGUAAAACUCACAAAACCUUGCUAUGGUAAAACCCACGGCAUGGGGAAAACCCAUAGACUAAGGAGAAAAGUGAGAAGUAUGCAUAAUGUCUUAAACAAAUGUCAAACUGGACGAAGAUAGUGAACUCAACGGAGUAUGAUCAUCCCAGGAUGGGUGCCUUAUUAAAACAUGGUUAGGUAGCAAAAACCCAGUGGGAAAAUUGCUCAUGAUCGUAGGAAAAAUAGCACUAUGCUUCUAGAUACUCCUCCUAAGCGAUUCAACUCAGAUAAUUUACACAUACCGAUUCCUUGGAUGAGCUUCUGAAAUGUAGACUUGGGCAAUGACUUGGUGAAGAGAUCGGCCAGGUUGUCCUGGGAACGGAUUUGCUUGACUUCAAUGUUCUGAUGCUGCUGCUGCUGGUAUGAGUAAAAAAACUUCGGUGCUAUGUGUUUGGUGUUGUCUCCCUUGAUGUAUCCCUUCUUCAACUGCUCGAUACAUGAUGCAUUGUCUUGAAAGAUUGUCGUAGGAAGGUCAAUGACUGAUGUAAGACCACUAGUGCUUCGUAUGGGUCCCAUAACUUCUCUCAGCCAAAAGCACUCACACGAUGCUUCAUGUAGAGCGAGAAUCUCAGCAUGGUUCAACGAAGUCGCAGCUAGCUUUUGCUUGGUAGACCUCCAAGAUAUAGUGGUAUCCCUAACAGUAAAGAUAUAGCCCGUUUGUGAACGUGCUUUAUGUGGGUCAGAUAGAUAUCCAGCAUCUGCGUAACCAACAAGGCGACAAUUAAUCCGACGACCAUAAAGGGCGGCAACACUCGAAGAUUCGUGGGUAUAGAAUAAGCCCAAAUCUGUAGUACCCUUGAGGUAGCGGAACAUUUCUUUAACACCAUUCCAGUGCUUGCGUGUGGGCGCAUUCGUGUAUCUUGCCAAAAGAUUCACAGCGAAGGAGAUGUUAGGUCUAGUGCACUAAGCCAAGUACAAUAAAGCCCCAAUUGCACUUAGGUAAGGAACUUCGAGUUCCAAAAUCUCUUCCUCAUCCUCAUUUGGACGGAAAAGAUCUCGUUUAGCAUCUAGAGUCCAAACGACAAUGGGUGUACUCGAAGGCUUCGCUUUAUUCUCAUUAAAACGACACAACACCUUAUGGGUGUAAUUCGAUUAAUGUAAUAGGAUUUCAUCUGAACAAUGCUUGAUCUCCAGGCCGAGACAGUAUCGAGUUUUCCCAAGAUCUUUCAUCUCAAAUUCCGAUUUCAAGUGUGCAGCAAUUUCCUCAAACUCUACAAGAGUCCCAAUGAGGUUCAUGUCAUCGACAUAAACUGCAAUGAUUGCAAAUCCAGAAUGUGACUUCUUUAUGAACACGCAUGGGCAUAAUUCGUUGUUCACAUAAUCCUAAUUUGUCAAAUAUUCACUCAGACGGUUAUACCACAUCUGCCCAGAUUGUUUCAAUUCGUAAAGUGACAUCCUCAGCCUAAUUGAAAGAGUGUUCUGUGGUCUAGAACUAUUUGAACCAGUUAAUGGAAGUCCUUUUGGAACUUUCAUGUAAAUUUUCGUAUCUAGAUCACCAUAAAGAUACACGGUUACCACGUCCAUAAGCUCAUAUUCAGUUUUUCGAAAAUUACCAAACCGAUUAGGUAGCGGAACGUUAUAAUGUCCAUUACAAGGGAAUACGUCUCCUCGUAAUCAAUCCCAAGAUGCUGAGAAAAGCCUUGUGUUACGAGGCAUGCUUUGUAUCGCACUAUUUCAUUCUUCUUAUUACGCUUCCUCACGAAAACCCACUUGUAGCCAACAGGCUUCACGCGUGGUGGUGUAGGAACGAUAGGUCCAAAUACCUUACGUUUCGCGAGUGAAUCGAGUUCGACCUGGAUUGCUUGUUUCCAGUUUAACCAAUCGGUUCUACGUCAGCAUUCAUAGACGAAACGUGGUUCAAUGUCAUCAUUAAGCAUGAUGUCAGUAGCUACUGAGUACGCGAAUGUAUCAUUGACGAUCAUCUCAUUCCUAUUCCAAACCUCAUCCAAUACUGCGUAGUGGACCAAAAUCUUGUGAUUCUCGGAAGACCAGCAUGUUUCUUCUUAAACAUCAUUGUAAUCUAGAAUAACCUUAUGUGUUGGAAUAGAUGAGUGAGCGAUGGUUUGAUUCAAACUAGGGUCACUAGUUAGUGCCAUUUUCCUCUUCUAGGGUGUUGAAUCCUUUGAACCAAGGGGUCUGCCACAAUUUAGGGUCAUAUCAGAUGAUUGGCUAGCCGUCAAUGUACCUUGUUGCGUGGAAGGUGCUGCCUCCCCACCUUUGGGGACGGUCCGGCCUUCCCAAGCACAUUGUUGAUGUACGUGGGGUACAUCUAUCCUUGCAGAUGUGUUUGCAGCGGGUAUAUGUGAUCUUGUCACCUUAACUAGAUCAUUAAAAGCAUCCGGCAUGCUUUGAGCAAUGCUCUGAAGAUUUACAAUUCGUCACACCUUAGUUUCAUACUGGGCAGUGCGGGGAUCUAAAUGAGACAUAGUGGGAGUAUACCACGACAAUUCGCGACAUUAUACGGGGAACGUUAGCAUGCUUAUCUCCCUUUAACGACGGGAAGACUAUCUCGUCAAAGUAACAAUCCGUAAAAUGUGCGGUAAAGAGAUCUUCUGUCAAAGGCUCUAAGUAGCAAACAAUUGAUGGCGAAUCAUAACCGACAUAGAUUCUCAUUUUUCUCUGAGGACCCAUUUUGGUAUGUAGCGACGGCGUUAUUGACACAUAAAUGGCGCACCCAAUCACCCAUAAAUGUAAGAUGCCAGGCUCGUAUCCAGUGACCAGCUGUAACGGUGAAUAUGGUUGAGUAGUGGUGGGCCUCAGGUGGACCAACAUAGCUACGUGCAAUAUUGCAUAGCCCCAGGCAGAUACCUGCAGUUUGGUUCUCAUAACCAAAAUCCGAGCUAUCAAUUGAAGGCGCUUUAUGAAAGCUUCUGCCAUGCCAUUUUGGGUGUGAACAUGGGGUACAAGAUGUUCCACAUCAAUCCAUACUGACUUGCAAUAAUCGUCAAAAGUCUGUGACGUAAAUUCUCCAGAGUUAUCCAAUCGAAUCGACUUAAUCGGAUAAUCAGGGUGGUGAUCCCUUAGCUUAAUGAUUUGAGCUAGGAGUUUAGCAAACGCGGCGCUGCGUGUGGACAACAAGCAAACACGUGCCCAUCGUGUCGAUGUAUCAACCAACACCAUAAAGUAUCUAAAUGGUCCGCAUGUUGGUUGGAUAAGUCCACAAAUGUCCCUUUGAAUCCUCUGAAUAAGCUUAGGGGGUCAUGAAUAAUCUUUGUAUAUGAGGGUUGAGUAUUCAACUUCCCUAAAUAACACGUUUUGCAUGGCGGGAGUCCAACAUAGGGAUGUAACUUAUGCCCGUGUGAAGAUUGGAGGAUACGGCACAUCAUGUCUCGUCCAAAAUGUCCCAAACGGCCAUGCCAAAGCAACAAAAGGUCCUGGAACUCAGGCAUAGGGCCGGCCACAAUGUGGGCUUCUAUGGCGCGAAUGGUUGUGAUAUACAAUCCACUCGGUAGACAUUCCAACUUCUCAUGAAUAUCUCUAAAAUCAGUAACUUCAGUGGUUUCAAUAUGAUAUUGAAUAUCUCUAAAACUCAGCAACGUUCUUCUGUAACGUGGAGAACAGAUUACCUCCUUAAUGGUAGAAAUUGUACCAUUAGACAACACGAUACGUGUCUUUCCGUAUCUUUCAAUCAGGUUGGAUGAGCCUGUGAGAAUUGUCAAAUGAGCUUUCUUGGGUAUUAAGUUAGUAAAAUAAUGUCGUUCACGCAAGAUGGUGUGCGUGGUUGCAUUAUUUGCCAAACAAUUAACUUCCCCACUAGAUAUACCUAGAAAUAAAUUGAUUGAAUUAGUCACAUGCAUAAAUAUAAGUCCAUUCAUUCAAUUAAGCAAUUCGAGAAAAUAAUAUCCAUUCAAAUAACAAUUCAUAAUUCAAAACAAACCAAAACCAAACAAAUUAUUCCAAAUACUUAGAAAAAUUGUUCAAAAUUAAACCAUAAACCUAGCAAAAUAGGGGGUAAGGCCGACCACUCCUAGUGGGUUCGGCCAUUAGGGGUAAACACCCUAAAAACAUGUCUAAUUUAUUCAUCCAUAGGCGCUGAUGCCUUCUGAAAAUCCGAUAUCUCCAUUGAUGUAGUUACAUCUUCCGGAUGAUCCACAUGUUCAAAGUUAAACUCACGACGGGAAUGAUACUUGGCAAUAGCCUCAGGGGAAGCUCGACAUACGUGUGACCAGUGAUCCUUUGAUCCAUAGCAAUAGCACAUGUCCAGCUCAGUUAAAGCAGGCUGAAUGGGAGCUUUGCCCUUUUUCUUGAAGUUUAGAACCUUAGGGGCGAGUGGUGGAUGCUGUUGGGUCACAUUUCUUCCCUUAGGUGCGGCACUCUGAUUCAGUGAGUUCCACUUUGCAGAAUUUCAAUAAUGAACGGAUUCUACAAACUUCAAAGUUGUAUUCAUUUACGAACUUAAAGUCCUGGAAGCGAAGAUGAUGCCAGUCGUGUCUUACUUCAGGCAAGUAUAUGUCUUUCUGGUUAUCGAAACAGUCGGCUAGAGCAAGCCAAAGGAUGUGUAGGUCCUCCUCAGUGAGAUACUCAGUUUGCAGUGCAUCAUGGAUGUGUCUUCGGAUAAAGGUCAUUGCAGUAGCCUUUUGAGCUUCGUCAACGGGUUUGUCGGCGAUAGGUGCCUCGAUGGUAGCUCUAAUACCCUUUGUAGUUAGAUAGAGCUUCACGUCUUGAACCCACUUUAGAUAGUUUCUUCCAGAGACUUCUAGAGCAGAGAAAUCGAGCUUGUUCGAGUUCAACAUGUCCCUAAAAUAAAGGAAAAAAAAUGUGAUUAGUCAUAUGGCUUAUAGACAUAUAUCGUAGAACAUACAGGUUCUAUAAACAUGUAUUGGUUUAAUUUAUGCAUGAAAACUACAGGUUUCAUAUGGUAUGUUUUGAAUGAAAACUUCGGGAUUCAAAGACACUAAAUUUGAAACUACAGGUUCAAUUUAGUUGUAUGAACAAUUAGUUCAUAAUGAGAGGUUCCUGCAAGAAACAUAGAAUGCAAUAUACUAAUUUGAAUAUAGUGGAUUUGAGGUUCUUCGGGAACUUAAGUGUGAAAGCUUCGUUUCUACGAAAGUAUGUGAUGGUUCAAAGUAUAAAAAUAAAUUAUUGAAUCGUUAAUGUCCAAAAGUGAUCUUCAGGUCAAUAAUUUUGGAUUUAUUAUCAGAUUAAUGGACUACAGGUCACUUUUAAUUAAUUCAAUAAAUCGGGCCAUACAUGGUCGAUUGUAAAAGCUAAAUAAUAUUAAAAUAAUAUUAUUGGGUCGAAAAUAUAGCCCCAAUAAAUAAUUGGGCUCAGGUUGGGUGCCUUGAGUAAAAGGCAAGGUCCAAAAAGGCCUUGGGAGUGGGCUGCAGGCCACAAUGGGUGGGAGAAAACCCUAGCCGCAGUUGGGUUUCAGUUUGGGCCGAGGGAGAUGGCAUGGGGCAAGGCCCAUCAAGGUUGCUGGCUUUUAGGUUUGGAGUGGAAAGCCCUAGCCGCAUGGGUUGGCUUUAGUUUGUUGCAAGCCGUGACACGGGGGCCCAGCAAGUUAGGCUUGCGGGCUGUGGACCAAGAAACUAGGGCUGCAGGCCCGUGGUUAUGAAGCAGCAAACCCAACAGGGGUUGGGCAGAUGGUCCAAAGGCAUCAAGGUGAUGCCAUCCCAUGGUAAUACCAAAAAAAAAAAAAUACCCAAUUUUUUUGAACCUAGGGUUUAGGAAACCCAUAUUUGCUUCUAAUUUAUUUUAUAUAGUUUGACUCACAAAUUCCACAUAACAAUUUAAUUGUGUGAUGGAUGAAACAAAUAUAUGAACAUAUACAAUAUAUAUAUAUAUAUAUAUAUAUAUAUAUAUAUAUAUAUAUCGAAAGGAAAAUAUAAACAUAGAGGGGUUCAUACAUCAUGGGGAAUGUUUUCAUGCUUCGUGGACGUUUCAAAUAUCUUCUUUUAUUUAAGCAUACCUGAUUAGCAGAAAAUGAAUAAGCCUUCGAAUUUGGUGGAUGAUAGUCUCCUCCUACGAUGCAUCAAUUCCUCAGCUUCUGGUAAAAGCGUGCUGAUAACGUGUUGUAGGCCUAUUUGAUUGAAAGAUCUAGGGUGAGAGACAGGGGGCCGACUAUGCUUAGAGAGAAGAGAGAUUGAUUUAAUUGUGAGGUGAGUUUGAUUCACCUCAUUGUGCCUUUAUUUAUAGUAGGAUAGGUAAAAACCUUUCCCUUUAGGAUUACAACAUUUAAUAGGUAAUCCACUCCUAAUAGGAAUAUAAGAUACAUUCUCAUAUCUACUAGGAUUUACACAAUCACAUUCUUAUUCUAAAUAUGACCACAACAAAAAGAAUUUUAUUGCCUGUGGAUGCAAAUUUCUUCCUCCUCGAUCUUGGACGAUUUUGCACCUACAAAACAAUUAACACCUUAGGUUAAGGCCAAGAGCCUCACGCGCCCACGAUGAAUGGGGGGGGCUUUGGCCGAAGAACCUCCGAUGCCAAAGUUAGAAUUUAGAGAGAAAGAGUGUUUAGAGAAUUUUGGGAUUUUUGCCAAAGUGUUGGAAUUAGCUUUUUGGUGAGAAUGGGAGUAUAUUUAUAGGGAUAGGAGGUGGCUAGGGUUUUUAGGUUUAAUUAGCCAAUUUAUUUGGCUAUUAAACAUAAAAUGAAUGUUUUGGUGGUUUUUUGUAUAAUUGGCUAAUAAAAAGGAAGAAAUGGUGGGAAAAGGUAGAAAAAAGGUAAUGGAUUAGGUUUUUCAAUGGGAUAGCCGGCCCUCUUGUGUUUUUAGGUUUGAGUGGAUGUUUCAAAUUGACAAUUAAGGGAUUGAUUAGGUAAUUAAUCCCUUAAUUAGUCAAUUAUUAUGAUUUUAUGAAAUAUGAAAGGAAUAAGUAUAUUAUUUAGCUAAUUGAUUAGCUAAAUAAUGAAAUGGGAAAUAUAUGAAUAAAUUAGGUUUUAAGUUGAUACCUAUUUUGGGCACUUUUGACUUGGUUGAAAAAAUGAUUCUCUACUGCUCGCGUGUAGGAAACCCGGUAUGCCUCGAGGGUAUUUUUGUCCUCUUUUGUCCAAAAGUCCACGUGUCGCGUAGUGAAUAUUUUUGACUCCACAUUGCCUAUCUACAAGAAUAAGAACGACACACAAAAUUGCAUGAAUUAUAGGGUAUUCUGUUAUGAGUCAUACAAAAAAUCUUUGGAAUGAGCAUAGGCUAAGGCAAGAGAUACGAAUCUCAAAUAGUCAAUUCGGGUUUAUGUCAGGGUGCUCGACUAUAUGGAGGCAAUCUAUCUUUUACAAAGAUCGAUGGAAUGAUAUAGAGAUAUGCAAAGUAUUUGCACAUGAUUUUUAUAGAUUUGGAAAAAGCGAAUGAUAGGUUCCUAAGAGAAUUUGUUUUUUGGAUUCUAGUGAAGAAAAUAGUACGAGUAGUAUAUAUCCAAGCAAUAGAGAAUAUGUAUGAUGGAGCAAGGACUAUAGUAAGAACUCAUGAAGGACAAACUGAAAGUUUUCCCAUAAUCAUAUGUAGGGUUACUCCAAGCCUUAACUUUAAGUCCUUCCCUUUUUUGAAUUGGUAAUUGAUGAGUUAACGGAACAUAUUCAACACAUGCAAAUAACAUGCAACGCCCCGCCCCGAAUUAUUUACUUUAUUUUGGAAAAUAAUAAUAUUAGUGAUAGGCCCAAACUAAACUCUUGUUUAGUUUGCUACUAUUUCAUUUAUCUUACUUCUAAAUCUCCAAAUGAUUUAAUUCCUAUAAAAUUAACCAUGUUUUUAAUUACCAUAACAAUCAAUUAAGUUAUCAACUUAAUUCCCCAAAUUCUUCUAUCAAGCAACCUCUAAUUCAAAGAUUAAUUCUUGAAUAUUUAAUCUUACUGGUAUUAUGGUUGCAUCUAACGUCUCGUUAGACUACCUACGUACCCUAAACAGGGAUCAAGUCAUUCGUAGUUCACUAAUUCCAAUUCUAUUAAACUUUGAUAUUUCUACACAUAACUAACAAUUACCAUCUAGCUUCAAACAAGUGUAUUACAUUAAAUGCUUAUUAAAUUUAGUUCCAGAACAUCAAAAUUAGCUUAAAGCUACGGCGUCGGCCAUCUCGAUUCGCCGGAAAAUAUCAACUAUCUCCAAAAAUUAGCAAAUUUUACAACAAAGUAGAUCUCAGUGAUAGGAACAACUUUCAUACCUGCGGCCAGACCUAAUUUGGCCAGGAAACACCUCAAAUCGGCCACGAACAGUCUGAAACCCUUGAAUUUGGGUGUGUUCAAUUCGACCUCAAAGUAACUCCGACGUCCCUAAAUUUGUUUGGGCUUUGUUCCACAUCUCAAAGGGAAUUUAAUGGUGGUGGAAUUGGACUUGAGUAGUUUCAAAUUUUGGGUAAUUCGAACCCAAUGCCAAUGCACCCCACUGUGUGGGUUUUACCCAUUUCAAGCUCAAAUCCCAUGAUUUUUUAGGUGUAGUAGGAAGAUGGAAGGUUAUGGAGGGUUUUACAAUGGUUAAUUUGAUGUAUUCGUCGGAAAAAGGGGUGAAAUCCCGCCGGAAAAAAACAAUAGGCCCGAUCCAGUCGGGUUCGGUCCCUAGGUCGUGGGAUCCCCCUCUCCCCCUUCUUUCCUUUUUCCUCCUUUCUCCCUUCCCCAUUCGUCGUCCCCCCUAUUCUUUUCCUCCUUUCUCUCCUUUCUAUUCUUUUCUUUUAGUCACAACCAUCCAUUUUGUUUCUUCCUUUCAUACCAACCACACACGUGGCUUUUUCACAUGGCUCCAGAUUUUCUGGAGCCUUCUAAAGAUAUUUAAAAUUUCCAAUUUAUCCCCGACUUUAAACGUUAAUAACUUCUUCGUUAAAACAAUGUUUCACGAACGGUUUACGCCUACGCGUUCGUGAGAUCGAACUUUAUUCAAGAAUAUAAAUUGUGACCUCGAAGGGUCUACGGAUUUUAAAUAAUUAAUUUCCAAACUUUAAAUCUCGUAACUAGUUUAAUUUAAAACUUAACUCACAUCAAUUAUUAUAAAUUCUCGAAAAACCAAAUAAAAGCUCAAUACUACAAUUACGUUAAUUGUAAUGAUUUUCCAAUUCUAUUUUCAUAACCAUAAAUCGAUUUAUUUUCGAUUUUCUCUAUGUAUUCAUAAUUAUGAAUAUUUAAUUCAUAUAUUUAAAUUUUCAAGGUAUUACAUUCACCUCCCGUUAAAAUAAAUCUCAUCCCCGAGAUUUCAACCACUGAAUAACGAAAAGGGAUUUAGAACUAAUCCCACCGUUCCAUUCGUAUGGAAUAAAAUCAUAAUGAUUCGCACCAUAUACACAUACUCUUAGCAACAUUCACUAGCAGGACAAAAUAUCCUAAAACCAAUAUCAUAAAUUCCAGCCAUAAUUUUGGUUGGCUGGAUAAACACCAGAAUAUCAAACCCCUUCAACCAUCGGCUAGAUAAAUACUAGCAUAAUGAUCGCAAUAUAAUAAAUUUCAACCAUAACCAUCUUCCGCCAAUUUAAACAUCAAAUCUCAAGCCAAAAUCAUCAAUGGUUAGGUAAUUAUCAAAAUUUAAACCAACUCAAUCGAAUUGACAAAUCACAUAUCAAGAAUUCCAACUAAAACAUGGAACGAAAUCAAAAUCUCACUCUAUGAUUUUUCUUUAUGUCCACAAUUAACCAAGUUACAUAUAGUAAAUUUAAAGCCUUUUAAAUCUUUCUUUUUAUUGUUUCUCUUUCCAAUUGAUUUUAAGUGCCGCCACAAAUGACAUAAUUUAGCGACUCGUACUUCUAGUACACCAUUCACAUUCUAUUAACCAAAGAAGAUAAUUUAUAUAUAUAUAUAUAUAUAUAUAUAUAUAUAUCACAACUCAAUUGGCCAACACAACUAAACCUUAUUAAUCGCAUAAACAUAAGAACAUGUUUUCUUCAUUUGUUCAGUUCGUGAUAUCGAAUCCAACAACGACGACUCUUGAAUAUGGCAAUCCAAGCAAUAAUUUUUGUAAUUACAAGCUUUCCUCAUCCAUUCUUUUUAUUGAACGUUAAAUAUAACUGGUCAAUCAUCAAUACUAAACGAACUCAAACUCUCAUUCUAGGAUUUCAUUCAUAUCCACAAUUACCUAAAUUAUCCUUAGUAAAUUUAAAAACUUUAUCUUUUUAUUCUUUCUGUCAAUUUGUUCCUUUUUUAAAUUGUUUCAAAAUGUAACCACAGCUCGAAUAAAUUAGUGAGCUGUACCUCCAGGGUACUAUUUACAUUUCACCAACCAAAGAAGAGAAAUUUACAUUUUACGACCCUAACGGUCAACGGAAUUAAUCCUUACUAAUCACAUAGCCAAGAGAAUAUAUACUCGUCAUCAGUUUUGUUUGCAAUAUCAAUUUCCAACAAUGACCACUCAUGACCCAUGGCAACCAAAACAACACAUUUAUAAUUAUACCCUUUCUCCAUCAAUUCUUUCCAUAAUUCAUAAAAUUUCACGUCUCACACAACUGAAAAUUCGUUCAUAUUAAAUGAACCCAAAAUUUCAUUUCAUAAUUUUACUCAUAUCCACCAAUAAUAAAUGAAGAAAACUUCAUGGUCUUUCCACCAUUUUAAAUUAUAAUAACCAAAUCAUAACCUCAGUUUAUGAUUCCAUUCUCACUUGAUGAAUUUUCAUACGAAAUUCCAUUCAUUGCUAUUUGGAAAUUUACCUUGUAAUUAUUGGUAAUUCUGUUUCCCACUACAUCUGGCAACACGAAUACCAUAAAUUUUGGCCUUAAACGAUAUUGGCAAAAUCAAAUAUCAAAUUUCAAGCCAUAACUAUCGUGGCUAAUAGAGUACUAGAAUUUUCACGCCAUAAUUCAUUAAUGGCAAACCAAACCAAUCAACUUUGAAAUUUAUAAACCUUCCACGUCAAUUCUCCUCAUCAAGCGCAAAAAAAAAAAAAAAAAAAAAAAAAAAACUCACUGGAAAACAUUUAUAUUAAAUGAACUCAAGAUCUCAUCCCAUAUUUUCAUUCAUGUUCAUUCAUGUUCAUCCAUAACCACAACAUAUACUUUUUAUUCUCAUUCGAUAAAUUGUCAUGACUUUAAUGAAUACCAAAUUUCCAACCACAAUUAUCAUCUGCCAAACAUUUUAAAUUUCUAGCCACACAUAUCAUUGUCAACACAAUGAUUCCACCACCAUUUUCUUUUAUCUCAAUCAAUGACUAAUAGGCUGGAAAAUAUUGUAAUAUAAUUGGCCAAUACACAUCACACUUUCUUUUUCUUUUCUUCUUCUUCUUCUUCUUUCUCUUUUUUUUUUCACAUCUACGGGCCUUUUCCGCCUAAUUUCACAUUCACAGGCCUUUCUCGCCGCAUUUCACAUUCACAGGUUAUUGUGCCCAAUUCACAUCCAUGGGUCAUUGUGCCCAAUUCAAUUUCUCAAGUGCCAGGUAUAGUACAAAUUCUCCAUCUACUUAACACCACCUCAUAAUCACCUUAACAUUCAACAUUUUCACAAUGCAUAGCAUAAUAUCGAUUCAAUUCAAAAUUAAUCCAAAACCUUAAUCAAAUGCUCAACUUCAAAGCUAUAAUAUGAAUACGAUAUUUUAAAAUUUUGCUACUCCCAUUCAAUUCAAUUCAAAGCAUCAUAAUUCACAAUAUAUGCAUUCCACAUAAUUUCCGUCAUAUUCAUAGACCUUAUGAAAUAAUGCAAUAUCAAUACAAUUUAUAAUUCACACCCACAACUUAAUAAUAUCUCAUAAUACAUAACAUAAUGUCAAUCCACUUCAUUUCACUUCAUGGUGAUUCUCAACAUAUAUAUAUUUCACCUAACUUUCUCAUUACCCAAAGAACUUAGAAAUAAUGCAUUAUAAACGCAAAUCACCAUUCCCAUUAACGAAACUUUCAUAUUUAUUAAGGAAAUUGCACCACAAUCAUAAUACAAUUUAUAUAUAUGACACACACAUAAUAUAACAUGAAUGUCAAUUUAAUCACAAAAAAAAAUGUGAAUUAAUGCAACCACCAUGCAUAACAUAAUCCACACCAAUAAGAAUUCAAGAACAUUGCAUAUUAUCAUUUGCUCUGAUACCAUUUGUAACGCCCCACCCCGAAUUAUUUGCUUUAUUUCGGGAUAUAAUAAUAUUAGUGAUAGGCCUAAACUAAACUCUUGUUUAGUUUGCUACUAUUUCUUUUAUCUUACUUCUAAAUCUCCAAACGAUUUAAUUCCUAUAAAAUUAACCAUGUUUUUAAUUACCAUAACAAUCAAUUAAGUUAUCAACUUAAUUCCCUAAAUUCUUCUAUCAAGCAGCCUCUAAUUCAAAGAUUAAUUCUCAAAUAUUUAAUCUUACUGGUAUUAUGGCUGCAUCUAACAUCUCGUUAGAUUGCCUACGUGCCCUAAACAGGGAUCAAGCCAUUCGUAGUUCACAUAUUUCAAUUCUAUAAACUUUGAUAUUUCUACACAUAACUAACAAUCACUAUCUAGCUUCAAACAAGUGUAUUACGUUAAAUGCUUAUUAAAUUUAGUUACAGAACAUCAAAAUUAGCUUAACACUACGGCGUCGGCUCCCUGGGCACGUGUCGCCGCCCCAAUUCGCAGGAAAAUAUCAACUAUCUCCAAAAAUUACCAAAUUUUAUAGAAAAGUAGAUCUCAGUGGGAAGAACAACUUUCAUACCUGCGGCCAGGCCCAAUUUGGCUGGGAAACACCUCAAAUCGGCAACGAACCGCCGAAAACCCUUGAAUUUGGGUGUGUUCAAUUCGACCUCAAAGUAACUCCGACGCCCCUAAACUUGUUUAGGAUUUGUUCCACACCUCAAAGGGAGUCUAAUGGUGGAAUUGGACUUGAGGAGUUUCAAACUUUGGGUAAUUCAAACCCAAUGCCGCUGCACCCCACCGUGCGGGUGCUACCCAUUUCAAGCUCAAAUCCCAUGAUUUUUUAGGUGUAGUAGGAAGAGGGAAGGUUAUGGAGGGUUUUACAAUGGUUAACUUGAUGUAAUUCGCCAGAAAAAGGGGCGAAAUCCCAUCAGAAAAACACAAUAGACCCGAUCGGGUCAAGUUCGGUCCCCGAGUCGCAGGAUCUCCCGCUCCCCCUUCUCUCCUUUUUCCUCCCUUCUCCCUUCCCUAUUCGUCCUCCCCCUAUUCUUUUCCUCAUUUCUCUCCUUUCUAUUUUUUUCUUUGAAUCACAACCAUCCAUUUUGUUUCUUCCUUUCAUACCAGCCACCCACAUGUCUUUUUCACAUUGCUCCAGAUUUUCUGGAGCCUUCUAAAGAUAUUUAAAAUUACCAAUUUAUCCCCGACUCUAAACGUUAAUAACUUCUUCGUUAAAACAUCGUUUCACGAACGGUUUGCGCCUACGCGUUCGUGAGAUCGAGCUUUAUUCAAGCAUAUAAAUUGUGACCUCGAAGGGUCUACGGAUUUUAAAUAAUUAAUUUCCAAACUUUAAACCUCAUAACUAGUUUAAUUUAAAACUUAACUCACAUCAAUUAUUAUAAAUUCUCCAAAAACACAUAAAAGCUCAAUACUACAAUUACGUUAAUUGUAAUAAUUUCCCAAUUCUAUUUCCAUAACCAUAAAUCGAUUUAUUUGCGAUUUUCUCUACGUAUUCAUAAUUAUGAAUAUUUAAUUCAUAUAUUUAAAUUUUAAGGGUAUUACAUAACAAGGGCCUCAAGGAAAAAUACUAUAGGAUGGCAAUAAGACCAGCGAUGUUUCAUGGCACAAAUGUUAGGCGGUCAAGUAUCAACGCGUGCAAAAAAAGAGUGUAGAUGAGAAUGCUUCAUAGGAUGUGUGGGCAUACGAGAAAUGACAUAAUUAAGAAUGAGAAUAUCCGAGGUAAAGUAAGAGUGGGCCCAAUUGAAGAUAAGAUGAGAGAGAAUCGAUUAAGGUGGUUUGGAUAUGUGAAACCGAAGAUCUACAAAUGUUCUGGUUAGAAAAUGCGAUUACGAGAUAGAUGUUCAAAGCAAAAGGGGUAGAGAAACACAUAGAAAGACUUGGAAAUAGACUUUAAGAAAGACUUGGAGUACUUGGAGCUAACAGAAUACUAGACGCAAAACUGAGUGUAGUGGUAUUUUAGAAUUCAUAUAGCUAACCUCAUUUAAUGAGAUAAAACCAUGUUGUUGUUGUUGUUUAUAUAAUACUUGUCCCGCAUUGACCGCCACAUUUUAAAAAAAAUUCUAAUAAGAAAUUAAAAUGAGAUGAAGAUAAUGAAAAGAAAUUAUGAAUUGUGGAGAGAGCUAGAGUUUAUAGAGAAAAGUUAGAAGAGUUAUGAGUUAAAACUUCUAUGAUCCACUUCAUCGAUAAAAACAAGUUAUCAAAUUUUUGGCUUGAUCAAAUUACAUGGCAUUGAUAUAGCAUUGUUUCAACAUUUUCCAUAUGAUUAAAUCCAGUUCCAAUCAGAGAGUAAAUAAAUUAUCUAGUCUUUUGUCUAAUCCAAAUGAAGGAGGAGAGGUGACAUAUCCAACUACACUUCCCUAUUUUUAUAAUAAUGAUAUUAUCCACAAACUCAUUUUUACUUUAUACAUAUCCCUUGUUUAAUUAUAUCUUUUGACAUUCUUUAAUUCAUUCAAUUUGAUAGUCAGAAAUUAAAAAUAGUGUAAAAGAGAAAAAUGCAUGUGUGAGUUGUGCAAUUGAUUAUUAACGGAAGGCAGCAUGGGCAAGGCCAAAGGAGCUUGUAUUAGUUUACGAUGAGAGAGAAUCUUUGUCGGAUUCUCUUUGUGAGGAUUUCGGGAAUCUUCCAAUCAUAUACAUUCAUUGUACAUCAUGCGGUUAAUUUUCGUUAGGUACUGUUUGUAUUCAAUUUUAAAUAAAAAAAAUUACAAUAAUUUCUGACCGCACGAUGUACAAUGAACCAAUGUAAUUUAAAGAUCUCUGAAAUCCUUCCAAAAAAGGUCCAACGAGAAUCCUGACUCGUUAAUGAUAAUCUGCAGCAAGGUUAUCUCAGAACAAAAGUACGUCACGAUCAUGCAUGGAAUAUGUAGAAAAACAAACAAGGACAGUACUUUCAUCAAAUAUCAAGUCGACGUGUUUCAAUACGUACUACUUAUAUAGCUUUAUUUGGAAAAUGACGGACCAAGGUUAUGUAAUCGUUGGGUGCAAUCAUGCCCAAAAAAGUAAAAAUAAAAUGAUAAGUAUUCAUUUGCACCAACUUUGUUCUCUCUUUUUUCUUCAUAGAAUUCAAGUCAUUCACCAUUUACCAAAUGGCUAAAUCUCAAGAUUUUAGAGAGAUUAAUCAGCGGGUUACUUCUAAUUAUACCAAAAUUGUUAUUAAAUUGCAUCGAGUUACGGGCUUUCAUAACAAAAUUUUUGUUGUAAUUGUUAGUGAAACCACAUAAUAUAACUUUAUAUUUUAAUUUAUUAAUUUUUCUAUAUGCUAUUCUUGUAUGCUUGGCACUCUAAAUUUUUCAUUUUGCACUCCAAAAAUUUUUAUACUUAAAAAGGAAAAUACAAUUAUGAAGAGUGCAAAAUAAGAUUUUUUUAUUGCCAAUAACAAUUCCGUAAAAUAAUCACAAUUCAAUAUAUAGUGACAAAUUAAAUCUCUCCUAUUAAAAUUCGCACUAAUGAAAUCUCUCACAUUUAAAAUAAUCACAAUUCAAUAUAGUGAAAAGAAAAAAAUUAUUAAAUGCUAAUGUGUCCAAUUUUUUAGAAAGGAAAGUUGUUUGUUUGUUUCUUUAGAGUUCUUUCUAUUUCCUGCAGAUUAUAGUUUUACUCAUAUGCAAAAUAAAAAACUUUCUAAAAACGUUAACAUUAUUUUUGUACAGUGAAAAAACUAUGAUUUGCAGAUAAAUAAGAUUAAUAACAUCUCAUUACAUGAAGGGAUGCAUUUAUGUUAAUAUGUACAUCCCAGAAACCCUAGAAAUUAAUACGAUCAUAUCCAUGAUCUGCAUCUCUAGCUAAUUACAACUACCACGGAAUAUUCAGCUACCCUAUAUUUCUUGGUAAUCAAAAAAUAAUUCCAUGUACGUGGUCACAUUAUUAACCAACUUCAAAAUUAAAAGUACGUAAAUGAAUCUAAAAACUGCAAGUACGUAUAUUGUACUUGCAGUUGAGAGGUACAAUAUCAAUCAUAGGUUGUGCUUAUUAUUCCAGAUCCAACCACCAUUCCCAGAGACCUGUUUGCAGUAAUUCUCACAUGCAAUCUCGCAGAUGGGAAUGUUUGCGCCUUCCUCUUUCAGGCACACUGGCAUGCAUGGCUUUGCACAGUCUGAGAGCGCUUCACUUCCCUUCAUGCUGUAGCUGCACACCAUAACAACUAGCACACAGAUAACAAUGGCAGGAAUUGUAUUGGUUUUAGUAUUGGCCAUUUUGGUCUUUUAAAACUGGGUUUUUAUUGGGUUUUUGGUAAGAUUUGUGAGGGAAUUGGUCUAGUUGGUGAAAUAUUCAAUCUGCGAAUAAGAACUUGGAUGUGGGUUUGGUUUAUAUAAGGGGUGGGAAGUUGCGCAUGCUUAGGAAAGAAAGAUGCACCUCAUGGUUUAGGUGGUUUGGAGCAAAACAUGGUGAUGAAAAAUGAGGUUGGGGUUAGAAAUUAGGAUCAUAUAUUUUUGGUUGGGCUAAAGAAAGAUGGUUAGUUUUUUUUUGCCAAGAAUCGUGAGGUUAAAGUGCGUAAUAUUAUUAACACUCCUCGUUUAGGUUCUGACUCCAAAUCGAACUAGCAAAAUGGCCACACACUGUGAGUGGAAAAUAAUUAUGUUUUACUAUGAUUUUAUAAUUACAACAAAAGAAGUUAAAAUUCAAAAGAAUAAAUAAGAUCCCCAAGCAUAAAUAAGCGCCACCAAAAAAAAAAAAUAGUGUGCUCCUCUAGUCUUCCAUGGUGUUUUCUUCUCCACCUGUUUCGAUUACUCUUCUUCUUUUGGUUUUGUGAUUCCGUUUUCCUCUAGCAUGAAUGAAAUUUUGUAGAACUUGGGAUCAUGAAGAAGGAAGCUGAAUUCCCGCAGAACACAUCUAUCACCUUCUUUCUCCCUCUUAUACCUCUUUCUCUCUUUAAAUAACCACAUUAGACUAAAACAAAAUUCUAGUAUAAUCAAAGAUAUGCAACCCCUAAUUAAUGCAAAACCUUGAUUUGAUAUUUUUCAUUUUGUUCUCCCUUCAUGCCAGGAAUGAUCGAUUGUGUAGAGAGGUUUGUGUGAGGAGGAAAUUUGAUCACAAAAUGGGAAUAGAAGAUAGACGUGGGUGGGUUGGUUUCUACUGGCGGUUCACUCCUUUUUUCUGUAAAUUUUUUAUUUUGUAAUUCUCUUAUUUAUUAGGAUGUAUUUUUAAAACAUUGAAUUAAUUGUUGUUUCACAUAUUUAUCCAUGAUUUAUUAACUUGUUUUAUUGGGGUGUAAUCAUAUACCGAGGGUUAUAAUCGUUAUUUUCUAGAAUUUUGUUUUACAAAAAAUGUUUGCUUAUAGAUAUUAGUUAUUCAUUUGCAAAUUUAUUAUCCUAGUUGGAAGACUAAAUGAUGCAUGAUCACACAUUCUUAAAUUUAAAAUUUAAAAUUGAAAUUGAACAAAUAUGGUCAUUUAUUAAAAAUUGAUAUCAAAUCAAAGAUAAGUAACAAUGAAUUAAAUAUUCAUUUGUAACUGUACAAAGUUUAAUGAAUUAUUAUUAUUAUUAUUUUUUGUUUUUUUCAAAAAUGAGGACAAUUGGUAGCAAAUCACGGUUAUCCACCUCCUCCGGAGGUUGGAAAGAUUCACAGAGACAUUUCAGCCUCCCCUGACCAUAAGUCUACCUUCCUCAUUCAAUGAAUUAAAUUUGGGGUAUGGUCUAAUUAAUGCCGUCACGCCUCGAAAGGAACAGUGGUAGGCUUUAUUGACAACGCAAUGUUAUAAUGCCGCCCUAAAAAGAACCAAAUUAUGUCGUAUAUAUUUCACAACUUAUGAACAUAGUGUGAGGUUUUGGAUUUUUCGGGUUUCAAUCAACAAAAUAUGAUUAAAUUGGAAAGGGGUACUUUUUUUUUUCUUUUGGUAUAGUUCACAAAUGUAAUUGUCACUCAAAAGCAAAUCUGAAAACCCAAAAAUAAAUCUUCUCAUGGGGUUCAUAGACUAAUCGUAUAUAAAAUAUUAAAGUAUCUUCAAAUGAAAUGUCAAAAAGUACACAUCAUCAAUAACAAGAACAAAAGACAACAUAUAGUGUUUUCCAACUGAAAUGUUACUUCUUAUGUGACAUGACGAUGAUUGAUAGCAACUUCAACCACGCCAAGUUUGCCCAAUGCUUAACAUACUUGGCCUGACAAAACGCAUCAUCGGGUGAAGUACCUUAAGUCGAUGAACCAAAAUUUCAUCGGGCAAAUGUUCACACAAAAUACCCUAGAGUCGCGUUCCAAAAUGAUCCUUAUUAAUGCAAUAUGGCAUGCUCGAAACUCCCUUCUUUGGGAAGACAAACCUGCAAGUCCGGCCUUGGUGAGUCAAUUAGCUGGUCUCUAUGGGUGCGUUUGGUACGCGGGACGGGACGGGACGGAACGGGACGAGGCGUUCCGUCCCGCGUUUGGUGCGCCAAAAAUGGGUGGAACGGGCCGUUCCACGGGACAGAUUUUGGGUGUUUUUGCGUUCCACCUCCCACCCCUGGAACGGGUUUGUUCCACGUAUGUGGAACACAAUGUUUUACCAUUUUAAGACAAAUAUACCCCAUGUCUUUUUCAAAAAUUACACCUUCGUUCCGUCCCGUCCCGUCCCGUCCCGUCCCGUCUGCGUACCAAACGCACCCUAUCUCUCUGACUACCUUAGUGCUCAGCCUGCUCCUUUGCAUCGACUUCAACAGUCUCCUUCCCAUUGGUCUCCUCCUCUAGUUCAUUGGAUGAAGAUUAAUGUGGAUGGUUCCUUUUGUUCGUCUACAAACUUUGGGGGAGUCAGAUGUGGUAUUUCGCGAUGGUGUAUGCUAGAGGUUUCAUUUGCAAGAUACCUUAUGUGACUAAGCCUCACACGGUGGAGAAAUUUUUAGUUGUGACGAGAACACAAGUGGUACACCACGUGUUUUAAUAGAAGUGGUGGGAAAUUUUAUUUUUUAAGUUAUUAACUUUUUAACACACAUAUCCCAUAAUUUGUAUAGUGACACGUAGUGUAUAACCUCGUGUACCUGCCACAUUGAAAAAUCUCUCCACACGGUGGAGAUCCUAGCUGUGUGGAUGCAAAUUUCCGCCUUCUUCUUCUUGGACAAAAUUGCACCUACAACACAAUUAACAUCUUAGGUCAAGGUCAAGAGCCUCACGCGUCCACAAUGAAUAGGGGGCUUUGGCCGAAGAACCUCCGAUGCCAAAGUUAGAAUUUAGAGAGAAAAGUAUUUGGAGAGUUUUUUGGGAUUUUUGCCAAACUGUUGGAAUGAGUGUUUGGUGAAAAUAGGAGCCUAUUUAUAGGGCUAGGAGUGGCCGGGUUUUCAAGGGAUUUUGUGGUUGUGGUUUUGGCUUAAUUAGCCAAUUUAUUGGCUAAUUAAGUAUGAAAGAAGUAAAUGGGAGGUUACAAAAUUAUUUAUUUGUAUAAAUGGGGUAAUAAAUUGGAGAAAAGUGAGAAAGAUGAGGAUGAAAAGGAAGUGGCCGGCCCUUUAACAAUUUUAGGUUAAAUUGUAUAAUUUAAUAGGUAAUUAAUGGAUUAAUUGGGUAAUUAAUCUAUUAAUUUACCAAUUAAUAUUAUUUUGGAGGUUACUUUGCAAAAAAGGGAAUUUGAUGAGAUGAAUAUUGAAUUGUUACCUCUUUGGAGCAUUUUUUAGCUGCUCCCGUGUAGGAAUCCCGGUGUGCUUCAAGGGUAGUUUGGUCAUCUUUUACUAAAAAAUCCACGUAUCGCCUUGUGAUUAUUUUUGGCUCCACAAAUGCCCCCAGACCUGCUGGGCUGCUUGUAGAAAAUGGCAGCAGGUGUAGAGAUCUUCUUGCUCUAGGAAACUUAGGACUACUUCCUAUUUUGAUGUAGAUUCCCUCUUUAAUGUGAAAUUAGAUCUUUCUAGGAAAGGGAAAUAAAUUUCCCUCAAAGCCUAUUUAAGUCCACCUUAAGUGGGUUGUUAAAUCAACUUUGGAGAGCGAUUUAUUCUACCCUAUAAGCGAGAGAAAGCUUAGAGGAUAUUUGUUCCCCCUCCUCUAGCAAUCUUCUACAUCUUGUCCAUGUAAAGGACCGUCUUUCGUUGCUUUCUUUGUCUUCUCCGCGUCGCACCGAUGUAAGGAAAACUUAAUUCUCCUUAUCUUCUUCUUGGGAGGUGCUGCCACGGGGCAGCCGUAGGGCGGUGCGGCACGUCGGCUGGCAGGGGCCAGGAGUCGGCUUGGCAUGGGCCAAGGAGGUGGUGUGGCAGGGGCCAUUGUUUGUGUUGCUCGGCUUGAUUGAAGCCAAGGAUUGGCUCGGCAUGGGCCGAGGAAGUGGCGUGGCAUGGAUAACGGUUUGGGCUGCCACGUCUAGGCUGCUUGCCAAAAAUGAGGAAACUGCUUGAGUUUGAUUUUUCAGCUGCCAUGGAUGGAGCAGUCAAGGAUGAAGCUGCCAAGAUCGGAGUUGCUGAAGAUGAAGUGUCGGAUGAAUGAACUGUUAAGUGUAAAAGUGGAUGCUGCUCCCUAACCAUUUGUUACUUAAUUGAUAUUUAAGCAUUCGAUCUUUUGAACUAUGUGGCCUUCUCGCAUUGGAGAGCUUACCCAGAUGGGUGUCAGGGAUUUAGUUUACCGUCUCACACUGGAGAGCAAUUAGUUUACCCUCUCGCACUGGAAAGCAAUUGGUUUACCCUCUCGCACUGGAGAGCAAUUAGUUUAACCUCUUGCGCUGGAGAGCAUACCCAUAUGGGUGUCGGAAAAUUGGUUUACCCUCUCACACUGGAGAGCAAUUAGUUUAACCUCUCGUACUGGAGAGCAGACCCUUUUGGGUGUCAGGGAUUUGGUUUACCCUCUCGCACUGGAGAACAAUUAGUUUAACCUCUCGUACUGGAGAGCAGACCCAUAAAGGGUUUUGAGCAAUUGUUGUGGAUAGCAGUUGAGCCAAACUUAUGAAUAACUUCUUGAAUCUUCAUUGAGAAUAAAGAAAUAAAUCAACUGUGCUGGAAGGUAGAAACUGCAUAACAAACUGGAUAUUCUUCGGCUUGUGAAGCCUUGUUUGUCGAGUUGCUUAAGUCUUCGAACUUAUUUGGAAAAAAUCCAAAACGUGGUUCAGGGGGUGAUGGGAACUUCCCCUGCUUGUGUAGGCCGUUUUGUUGACCUGUCAAAAUACUCGUCGCAUCAGCCCUCAUUUGUCAGCUUUUCAAGGUACUGCUUCCACUUUAGGCAGCCGUUGGUAGUGUGGCCUGGUCCUUGAUGGAAUGCGCAAUAUUUUGUAUGAUCCAACCUGGUAAGAUCGAUUUUCAUAGGUGGUGGCAAUUCGAACCAAGGUUCAUUCUUGAGCUUGCGAAGAAUUUGGCCGAUUGGAACUGUGAACCUGGUGAAUGUUUCAAGCGCUGAGUCUUCUCUGGUCGGGGAACGUUCUAUGUGCUUCUUUUCUGACUCGUUUUUGUUAGACUGCUUGGCCUCGUCCCAUAAUGCAUGUUUUUCUGCCAAAGCAUACGAAGCUGCUAGGGUCAAUUCUUCUCCCAUAAUCAAUUUUCUGAAUAAAGGAUGUUCGGUAGGAAGCCCAUUUCUGAAUGCUGCCGUUGCUAUGUCUUCAUUGCAGCCAACUAUCUUGGCCUUCUCCACUUUGAACCUCUUGACAUAGUCGCGAAUUGUCUCCCGAUGGUCUUUUACAAUGCUGAAGAGAUGGUCAGAUGUCCUUUUGAUUGAGCGGUUAGACGAAUACUCCUUAGUGAAAACAAAGGAAAGUUCGUUAAAACUCUGGAUCAACUGCGGCGGUAGAGUGUGAAACCAGUCUUGCGCCUCGCCUUGUAGAGUUGUGGCAAAAAUUUUGCACAUAAGCAUAUCGUUGUUCCUGUAGAGGAUCAUGGUACUGCAAUAAUACUUGAGAUGUCGAUCCGGAUCUUCGUCUCCCUUAUAUGGAAUGAAGUGAGGCAUAGUGAACCCGUGAGGUGGAUCUAUCCAUUCGAUCUCAUUCGUGAAUGGUGACAUACUUAUGUUGGUUAUGUCUGGUCGAAGCGCAUCAUCAGCAACCUCGUUUCGUUGGAAAUUGCGCAGUCGUUUAGUUAAGAGCCUAUCAACUUCUUCUUGAAUUUGCCUCUGCUGGGGCAAUGGAAUUUUCAACUACCCCCGGUCGUGACCUAUGGGUUUGGGCUGCUCUUCCCUAUGCUCGACUCCUCCAUGUCGCAGCUGCGGUGCAUGUGGCAUGUAUCUGGCAAGCGAACGGGCCAUUCGUAGGCUAUUGGUUGAACUUGAGUCGGAUUGAGUGACUGCUUCUCUCCGUCUGCCGUGCUGCCUACUCCGAUGUGAGGUGGAGAAUGCUCCUUGCAAGCCUAGUUGUGAAUGAACAUUUCGCCUGGAAGAUUGUCCAUGUUGAUAAUCGGAAUGUAACCUCAACCGUGAACGUAUGCUGGCCCAUUGGCUUGAUUGGGAAUGCACGCUCCUCCGCGCGCUAAGACGAGAGUAUAUGUUAUCCUAAUGACCUAAACGGGAGCAUAAACUACCAGAACGUUCAGAUCGUGGCUGGUUGAUAGGCUGCUUGUUGGGAUGCUGGUGGAGAGGUUCAUCUGCCCUUGUCCUACUUAGGGACACCUCGUCUAGGGCACAUUGGAUCUCGGUGCGUUGCAAGAGUUGAUUCACCAAGGUUGUCUGUUGUGCAAGGGCGCUUGUCAACUCUAUGACUUGUCGAGACAAGUGUUGUUCGCCAUUUGGAUUGGAAGAGCUUGGAAUGAAUACGCCUCCUUGAGCAAUGGAAGUGUGGUAGACUCCGGGUGCAAGAUUUGAAUUGGAAAAUGUCAAAUCUGCAGAGAAAUAUGGUGAAAAUACCCCCGGCUUGAUGGUUGCUCCGGAUAGUUAAGAUAUUCUCAGGCCAACUUGAGCUGCUUGGGAAACCAUGGGAGGUAAGGCUGCAGGAGCAAGUUGGAUUACAGGAGCAAGCUGGGUCACGGGAGCAGGUUGCUCAAUGCGUGGUGCAUGCGAAUGCGAGGCUUAGGCUCGAAUUGGAAACGCAUUGGGCUCACGUUUGGCAUGGAGUGACAUGGUUCGGGUCGUGACUUCACUGGUGUUGGCCUUAGAUAGCACGACUUGGGCCGUAGUGGUGGAGCCAUGGACUCGCCGAGGGUGAUUGCCAUGGUGGCCACCUAGGUGGUUGCCAUGGUGGAGCCUUGUGGUGGUGGUGCCGCUCCCCCUAAGAUCACGUUUAGUCUCGUGAAUCACCACGAUCCCAUUUCUUGAAUAUUGGAAUUUUCACUUGUGGAAUUUUCUAAAUUUCUAGCCAUUGUAUUUCUCUUUUAUGUUUUAUCAAAGAAUCUUGGCAAAUAAAAAAUUUUAAUAAUAACAACGUACGAAAAAUACAAGUGGACUAGAAAAUAGAGAAAAAACGUUUUUGUGCGAAAGUCUUCUACGAAUGUGAAUCUCAACUCUCAAUGAAAGCACCAAUUUGUGGAUGCAAAUUUCCACCUUCUUCUUCUUGGACAAAAUUGCACCUACAAAACAAUUAACACCUUAGGUCAAGGCCAAGAGCCUCACACGCCCACGAUGAAUAGGGGGGCUUUGGCCGAAGAACCUCCGAUGCCAAAGUUAGAAUUUAGAGAGAAAAGUAUUUGGAGAGUUUUUUGGAAUUUUUGCCAAAUUGUUGGAAUGAGUGUUUGGUGAAAAUAGAAGCCUAUUUAUAGGGCUAGGAGUGGCCGGUUUUUCAAUGGAUUUUGUGGUUAUGGUUUUGGCUUAAUUAGCCAAUUUAUUGGCUAAUUAAGUAUGAAAGAAGUAAAUGGGAGGUUACAAAAUUAUUUAUUUGUAUAAAUGGGGUAAUAAAAUGGAGAAAAGCGAGAAAGGUGAGGAUGAAAAGGAAGUGGCCGGCCCUUUAACAAUUUUUAGGUUAAAUUGUAUAAUUUAAUAGGUAAUUAAUCUAUUAAUUUACCAAUUAAUAUUAUUUUGGAGGUUACUUUGCAAAAAAGGGAAUUUGAUGAGAUGAAUAUUGAAUUGUUACCUCUUUGGAGCAUUUUUGAGCUGCUCGCGUGUAAGAAUCCCGGUGUGCCUUAAGGGUAGUUUGGUCCUCUUUUACUAAAAAAUCCACGUGUCGCCUUGUGAUUAUUUUUGGCUCCACAAGUUGCUCUUGAAGGUCUCGAGCUGACUGCCCAGAAAAACUAACAGUGUAUCAUCUUGGAGUCUAAUGCUUUAUUGGGUGUUGAAGCCAUAGGCAGCUUGCACAAUCUUAGGAGUCUGAUGCUUUAUUGGUUGUUCAAGCUAGACCCGACAGUUUCUGACACGACACGAAAAUAACGGAUUUCAAAUCAACGUGAUAACUAAUCGGGGCAUUAUUGGGUGACCCGUUAAGAACCCAUUAAUAACGGGUUCUUAACGGGUAUACACACGAGUAACACGUGGGUAACCCGUUUCGACCCGUUAAGAAAAAAAUUAUUUUGAUAAUUUUAAAGUUUAAUUACUAAAAGAUUAAAUUCUAUAUUAAAUAUAUAGUUUUGUAUUAUUAUUCUAUAUAAAUUUAAAAAAAAAUGUUUUAGUCAUUGUUUAUUUUUAUUAUGAGAGUUCCUUAUUAUCAUUACUAGGAUAAAUUUUACUUAACAUGUUGUAGUCCAAAAUUAAAAUAAACUAGUAUAGUAUUUGCAUAGGCAAGAACUAAGAAGGCAUACAUACAAGUAUGAAAAAUGUGAAAAAAUAUAUAAACACUCGUGAUUCAUCAUUAUUUCUCCACGAAUAGAUAAUGGUUACACUUACAUUAUCAUUUAGAUUUUUAAAAUCCUCCAAACCCUCAUGAAUAAUAUUUUUAUUUGAGGGAAAAAUUAAUAAUAAUUAUUGUAGAAGUGUAAAAAAUGUAAAAAAUAUAUAUACAAUCACUCAUAGUGACAAGCUUUACAAAUUUCAUGAAUGGGUUAGCUUCGAAAUCCAACACUAUAAUCCAUAAACCUUAAAUUUAUAUUUAACCGUCGAUUGUAAUUUACGCUUUAUUCUUUUUACUGAAUUUCUUUUUUAAAAUUUUCUUUUUUGAAAACAUGAUCACCUGGCGGAUGUAAGAAGAUGAACGGUUUAGAUCUUUGAUAUCACGUUUCAAUGUUUACGGUUAACUGAAAUAUGAGUCGAUGUCAUAUAGUUUAUAGAAACUUUAUAAACAGCAAACAAUAUUUUCACUUACCGUAAAACUCUAAAUAUAAUAUCAAUAAUCCAAACCAUUCAUCUUCCUGUAUCCUCUAAUAGAUCAUGUUUUCAAAAAAAAAAAAAAUAUGAAAAAACGAAAUUUGAUGAGAACAAUGAAGUGUAAAUGUAAACAACAAUUAACAAUUAAAUUUUGAUCUAUGGUUUAUAUGAUUAUAGUGGCGAAUUUCGAAGUUAAGCUCUUCAUGAAAGUUGUAAAGGUUGUCAUUAUGAGCGUUUAUAUAUUUUUUCUAUAUUUUUUACACUUCUACAUUAAUUAAAAAACUAUUAAAGACUUUACUUAUUUGAAUUAUAAGUUGUACUAAAAUAAUGUAUACUAGGCAUGUUUAAUUAGUCACUUCAUUGCUUAGUAAUAUCCAUUAUUGGUGUGUGUUAUUGUUUGUUCAUGCUUCUAUAAAUUGGAUUGAGUUCGGAUGUUCCUAGAAUCCUACAUGUUUAAAAUGCUAUUAAUUAAUUUAUACCAAUUUUGUUUCAGAAGUAAUGGAUACUAGAGAUUUAGAUUCAGUAAACCUUAGUGAUGAGGAGUCCGUGGAGAUUAUAAUGGGAACAGAACGAGAUAUUGGAAGUGAAAGUAUAGACAAUACAAAUACGAGUAUUGCAAAUAAAAAGGGUAGAGCAAUCAAUUUAGGUAAGCGAAAAUAUACUUAAAAGAAAAAUGUGUUUUUAUGUUUUGGAUGUGACAAUAUGAUAUGUAUAUACUUAUUUAGUAUUAUGUUUUUCAUUUGAUUAUUUAUUGGUUUAAAACAUAUUUUCCUUAAUGGAUAACGGAUCGGGUCAUAUUACCUGUUAAUAUUAUCGGGUCGAUUUUGGGUUGGGUCAUUUUACUCGUUUAUUUUAACGAGUGUUACACGAUAUGACCUGUUAAAAUAUCGAGUAUGACACGAAAACGACACGAACACGGAAAACACGACACGAAUGUCAGGUCUAGUUCAAGCCAUGGGCAGCUUGCACAGUGGUUCGACUUCCAAUGAGUUGCUAAUUGAUGACAUUAAAACUCGUGUACUGAGCUUUAAUGAAUCUAGAGUUUGUCAUGUCCGCUGUUUUGCCAAUUCUGUAGCGCAUAAAUUGGCCAAGUUGAUCUUAGUUUCCAACAACAGAUGUACUCCGGGACACCCUCUAUGAUAAAUGUAUGCUUUCUUAAGUUAUUGAAUAAAACGCUACCGUCUCUUUUCCUUAAAAAAAAAUAAUAAUAAUCAGAACAUGAACACAUACAUGCAACAAGGGAAAAGGUUAGGCAAAGAUGCGACAUCUUCAACAGGCAAUGUCUUUCAUUGGUGACAUUGUAACAUAGUGAAAAUAUAUAUCCUAAAUCUGCCAGACUGCCACCAAUGGAUAAAAAGAUGAUGCAUUUAUAUUCCGCUAUGACUUCAAAUUUUGUCCAUAAACUGUCAGAUUUGACAUUCCAACUUCUCUAAACGUAGAAUCCAGAAACUCUCCCUCUCUUUCUCCCUCUCUGUGGGUGCGUAGUGCGGAGUGGAGCCAAAUUGGCAAAUUUCUGUUGGCUGUUAAGUUGAAUGAUGUGUACGUAUAUAUACCACGUUACGUACCCCGAAAGUUGUCUUGGUUGAAUCUGUCUGCCAGAUAUAUAGCACAUACAGAGAGAGAGAGAGAGAGAGAGUCAAGGCUCACAAUUGACAUGUCUUCCAAUUCGUCACAUGCAUUUGUCAAGAAAACUUCAAACAAAACUUUUUUUUUAACAAACAAUAUUAUCUACACUAAAAGAGAAUGAGGGAGUGGGCUUAGUCUCACAAUGGACUAACAAUAAAGUGGUUCAAAUUCGCCUUUGGCUAGAAUCAAAUCUAAAACCUUUUACUUACAAGUGAAGAGAAAUAUCACUAGAUCAUAGUACUAUGUGGCACUUCAAAACAAAACUUAUAGGGUAAAUUACAUUUUACCCCUUCAGGUUUAGGGUCGAUUUCAAUUCCUUACAACAUCUUUAAAACAUUUCACUUUCAUACCUUAAGUACUAUUUUAUUUCAAUAUAAUACAUCUGUUACAUUUUUCAUCCAUUAGUCCGUUAAAAGCUAACGUGGCUGCCAAAUUUAUGCCACGUGGAAAAAAAAAUUAUGCAUUUAAAAUAUUAUAAUAAUUUACCUUAUUAAAAAAAACCUGAAACCAUCUUCCCCGACCCUUUCUCCCUCUCCUCCGCUCUCUUCACCUCCCCUCCCAUCCAAAAAACCCACCCUUUCCCUGCAACCCAAAUCCCCCAUCCCACCCCACCCCUACCUCCCCGACCUCUCCGCAACCCCCCCCCCCCCCAAAAAAACCCAAAACCCCCAAAUUAUUUGUAUGAAACCUGCAAAAAAAAAAAAAUCCACCAGUGCUUGGAGAAAAGGGCUGACAUUCCCCAGUUGUUGACGCCCACAGAUGGUGAUGGUGGUGUGGUCAUGAUGUCAAUGGCAAGGUGGGUGAGGGUGAGGUAGUGGUUGAAGGUUAAGAACUAGGGAUUUUGGAUAUGUGGAUUUUGGGGCGUUUGGGGUUCGAGUGAGAGAGUGGAGGAGGGUCGGCGUGUGAUGUUGUGCGCUUUGGUGAGGGUGGUGAGGAGGAAAACGUUGGCGGUGAGGAGUGUGAGCGUGAGGGGAUUCUGUGUUGGUGGUGUGCUCAGGUUCCUGAAGACAAACUAGGUUUUGCCUUUUUUUUUUUUUUUUUUUUGAAUUUUUUAAUUAAUUUUUUUAAAUUUUUUAAUUUUUUAUUAAGUGUUUAGCCACAUCAGCACAAAUGGGGACCCUUUAUUUGCCACGUCAUCACUUAACGGUUUACUUAACAGAUUUUCUAACAGAUAUAUGAAAUUGAAAUAAAAUAGUAUUUGAGGUAUGAAAGUGAAAUGUUUUAAAGAUGUUGUAAGGAAUUGAAAUCGACCCCAAACCUGAAGGGAUAAAAUGUAAUUUACCCAAACUUAUAUAGUGAAGUGCAAUAGAAAUUAAAAAAAAAGAAACAAGUUACUAUUGAAGUUUAACACUUGAUCAUUAAUCUAUUGGUAAUACCAGAUAGUUUAAAGGCCGACCCAAAGGAGGUGUAGUAGGGGUGGGUGUGGUGCGGUUCAGUAUGGUUCGGUGUGAUUUCAAGUAAAACCGCAACUGAAACCGAAACUUUUUGCGAUGCGGUUCGUUGCGGUUUUGAAGCCAAAACCAAAAUGAAACCAAACCAUUUGGUUCGGUUCGGUUCGAUUUUUGAGAAAAAAUAUACAAUUUAAAAUAUGCACCUAUUUAUGCAUAAGAUGAUCUUAUUUUUCUUGCUUUAGAUCGCCGAUAAGGAUCCUCUGAAAGUAAAGGAGGUUUGUGAUCACUCCAAACGUCAUCAAUGUAUUGAAGAAUGAUGAGCGACAUACGGGCUUAUUGCUAUGCAUGAGGACAAGAACUUUCUGAUGCACUGGGUUGACUUUGAGAAGCAAAGGGCUCUUGUUUUUUUUUUUGGAAAAGAUGUUCUUCUUCCAAAUAGAGGUAAUGGACUCCCUUCUCUGCCAAAGCAAUUUUCACUCUCAUGACAUAAGGACUUGUCUAGAAUCCCACAAGUGCAGCAAAAACAGCAACAACAAUGCAGCAAAACUACAACAAAAACAUUCAAUAUAUGGUGCGGUUUCGGUUUCGGUUUCGGUGCGGUUUUGAAAACCCAAAACCGAAACCAAACCGUUUAUUUACAACAGUUCGGUUUCGAAACCGCAACCGUUUUAAAACCGCAAAACCAAAUUGUUCGGUGUGGUCCGAUUCGAUUCGAUUCGUGUUUAGGUUUUGGUUUUCGGUUCCAAGUGCCCACCCCUAAGGUGUAGGUGGUGUCACCUAAAUGAGUGAUCAAUCACGACACACUCCAAACCAAAUAUUCAAAAAGACACCAAAAUCGAGACAUGUUGACCGACACUUGAAAGGUGAUGAAGUCAUAAUAUGUAAUUUAUGUAUAUAAAGUACGAGGAAAUUAAAACCAAAGUCUAGAAGUAAGUUAAUAACUAAGAGCAAGAGUGCGCAGUGUGGGUGAACUCUUAUUACAAAUGCAUGCAGUGUUAGAUUAUGGAUAAAAGUGCAUUAUAGGUCAGAAUAUCUUCAUCUUAGGUAGGAUGGAUCAAGGAAGAAAAUAUCGGUAAUAUCGGAAAUAUCGGUAGUCCGAAAACACGGAAAUAUCGAUGGAAAUAUCGGUAAAAUAUCGAUAUCGAUAAAAAUUACAUGGAAACCACGGAAAUUGUAAGAAAAACUUGGAAAUUUUUAUUGAAACUUUGUAGGAUGUUUAUUUAGUCAAUUAUCUAUUAGUUUAUCACAAAAAUUGGAAAGAAAUGCAUUGCAUGAUGGAUUUAACAUUAUCAAGUUGAUUAUAUAGCGAGCUGACAAACAUUGUGAGUGUAGAAAAUAUGUAGUAAUUAAUGAAAGAAGUCUAAACACACCAUAAUCAUUUAUAUAUAAUGAAUUAGUACAAUAUUUGGAGGUUUUAUUUAGGAUAUUAAAAAAAAAAAAGGAAGUGAAUAAAAUGAUGAAGAAUAAUGUGCCGAAUUUGACACUUUAAAUUUCUUACACAUAAGCAUGCGUCUAGGCGUUGAAGUUCCAAAUUAUAGUAUAUCAAUUAACGAUUGAAAAUCAAUACAUUGAAUAAGACUAAACUUUAAUUUGGAUGCCGAUUAUGUUUUUUCAAGUUUAUAUAAAGUAAAAAGAAUUGAAUUUUGGAAGUCAGGAGUGUGUCAAUUGUUUUAUAAUUCGUCCGAAUACAUAUAUCAGGUUGCUACUCAACGUAAUUUGAAAGUAUAUCUAGUGCAAGGACUUGUCUUUUUUUGUUGAUAAGCAAAGGGUUUGUAGCUUUUUUUGCUAAGCAGUAGAACAUAUUAUGUUUGUUUAAUCUUUAGCAUUUGAUGGUUGUCCACAAAUAUAGGAUAGAAGGCCCCAAAUUAGAUCUGGCUCUUACCUAGUUGGAGUCACAAGUUCACAUGUACCAGCCCUUGAGGCAAUACGUUUUGGUUUUCCGGCCAAACCACGGCGAGUUGGCCGGCGUGCAAGGUAUCAAUCUCUUCGUCUCGUCGAGUAGUACAACUUUCCUUUUUGUUUCACUCAAUUUCGUUGAGUAUUGAAAAAGUUAUACUCAUUUGAAUCUUACCCAGUUUCCGGCGACCUCAGUGACUUUCGAGGAAAUUUCCGGCCAAACCACAACGAGUCAGACAUCGUGUGAGGUACCAUUCUCUUCGUCUCUUCGAGAGCUACAACUUUCCUUUUUGUUUCACUCAAUUUCAUUGCGUAUUGAAAACGUUAUACUCAUUUGAAUCUUACCCAGUUUCCGGCGAUCUCAGUGGCUUUCGAGGAAAUUUCCGGCCAAAACACGGCGAUUUGGCCGGCUUGCAAGGUAUCAAUCUCUUCGUCUCGUCGAGUAGUACGACUUUCAUUCUUGUUUCACUCAAUUUCGUUGAGUAUUGAAAAAGUUAUACUCAUUUGAAUCUUACCCAGUUUCCGGCGACCUCAGUGACUUUAGAGGCAUUUUCCGGCCAAACCACGACGAGUCAGAUGUUAUGUGAGGUACCAUUCUCUUCGUCUCUUCGAGGGCUACAACUUUAGUUUUUGUCUUGCUUGAUUUUGUUGAGUUUUGACAAAGUUAUGGCCAUUUAAAGUGGGUGUGGAUUUUCGGCCGAAAUUCCUAUUUUCUUCCUUGGUCGAGUCCCACAUCGCCCAGCAAGGGCAGUGAGCAAGCCAAGAACGCCUAUAAAAGGCACAUUCACAUGGUGAGAAAAGCAUGUCUUGGUUAGCCUUUGGGGGCUUUGAUUAAGUGUAGUAUAUGUUGAGAUUUUCAACAUUUUUAAAUAUUUUUGAAUAUUAUAUUGUGAUAUUAUCGAUAAUUUUAAAAAUAUCGUGAUAUUAUCGAUAAUAUUGUGAUAUUUUGACAAAAAUUAUUUGGAUAGUUAUAAAAAUUUUGGAACUCCAAAAAAAUGAUAAUAUUGGUGAUAUUUUGCCGAUAUUAUCGAUUUUUUCUUUUUUGGAAUGGAUAUUAUACAAUUAACAAGAAUAAAUUUCGUACAUUAAUUAUAGCAAAUAUGCCAAAACCGCUAGUGAGUCCUCGCUCGCCAUAGCAUCCAACUACUAAGUCUUGGAAUGGUGAAAAACAAACUAUCAGUGGACAAAAACAAGGAUUUACCAAAAUUUUUGCUUUUCUUAACAUAGUAACCUCUCGUUGUAAUAUGGAAACCAAAGCAAAAUAGUAUAAAAGCCGUUAUGCUUAAGAUACGAGUAAAUCGCAAAUAUCUUAACAACUGUAGCACAAUAUGCUCGUAAAAAAUGUAGACACACGAGUCCAUGAAGAAAGUAGCUAGAUGAACAUGUUGACACGUACAAUGAAUCCAAUGUGAGCAUAACGUUGCACAUACAUGUAAAGCUGAUCCUGGUCCGAACGAGUACUAAAGACACCAAUUUAAACCUGCAUGAUGAGCAGAUAAAAUAUGUACUAUCAUACCAUCAUAAUUUCAUAAACCUCAACAUCAACAAAUAAUAUUUCUAAGUAAGAUUGUGGCAUGAUGUAAAACAUUCUUUAACCAUUAAAGAAACUAUACAUAUAACAUAGGUUUGAAAACAAAACCCACUCACUUAUAUGUCGUCAAAUUAUAACCACAUUGCCUUGCAUGGCUUCUAAAAUCCUCGAAAUAAGUCUUUCCUAUAUGAUUUCAUUAACUGAUGAGGAAACAUGAAAAUGAUGGUUAUGAACUUAACUCUUCCUAUUAUAACACUAAUAGCAAGUGACAGCGAUCUGACUCACUAGCCCCCACCAAGUGUUUCAAUUCUUUCUCAAAUUGGAGAAAUAAUCUUAUAUAUUUUACAAUAUCCCAAACAGUAGCUACAUAUGCAUUGGGAUGAAAUCCCACUUACAUAUACUUGCUAUAUAUAAAGCUUAGUUUUGCUGUCAUACAACCCCCCCCCAACUGCCCUCUAUUUCACUCUCAGUAUCUACUAGUUAUGAACAUCGAUAUGAUGCUUUUUGAGGCUAAGUUCCUCAUCAAACAAUUCUUUCGCAGAUGCAGGAACCUUGGUGGUACAGUCCUAAGGCGUAAAAUCCGGGGUCACUUUAGCAAUGCGAAAAUGUGGUUCCCCCGUCAUGAAGAGGACUACUAUGUACCCAAAGAUGUCCCAAGAGGCCACCUUGUGGUGUAUGUUGGUGAAGACUGCAAGAAAUUUAUCAUCAAGGUUACAUUACUCAGCCACCCUCUGUUCCAGGAAUUGCUUGAUCUCGCUGAAGAAGUUUUUCAGCUUGCAACCAACACGAAACUCUGGAUUCCUUGCAACGAAUACAUUUUCAUCAGCGUUCUUCGUUGCAUCAGUUAUGAACUAGAUCUAGGGUUUCAUUAUCUUUGAUGACGUUGCCUUUUUCUUCAGAAGUUUUGUUAUAUGCUUGGAGCAUUUAGAUAAGAUAUGUUAGUAAGUGUGCAGCUAAAUUUCUGUUGUACUUGUACAUUGUGUUAUUUUCAAUUUUAAAGCUCAUAAGUCAAAAGCUAAUUUAUGAUGAAAAUUGUGUCAUUUUACGGGCUCCGCAAGCGUUCACUACUAUAUUUCAAACUAUUUUGACUAUUAUUGAACUUUUCUGGUAUGGGAAUUACGCUUGCCCAAGCAAAUCAGGCUAACUAGUUCAUACAAUAUUCUCAAAAAAGUUAAGCUUUCUUCUGACUACAAUGCUAGUUAUAUUGAGGAAAUGAAAAGACUUUUUCAUUAACCUGAAGAAUAACAUUACAGAGUAUAUAUAUACAACCAACUGUUGUAAAACUAAAGUUACCAAAAGUAAAAGAGAUUAUUACAACAGUAACUUUUAACUAACUGUUAACAUCUUUUACAUUUUUAUAUACUCCAUUAUUCUCUUCACACCCCCUCAAGCUAAACGGAGAGGAUUUGAGGGAAAGCUUGGAUCACAGAUCAAGAAAUCGUUGACGAGGAAGAGAUUUAGUGUGGAUGUCAGCAAGCUGAUCUUGGCUGCAAACAAACUGAAUAGUGAGAAGCUUAGCAAGAACAAGCUCCCAAAUAUAAUGGUAGUCAAUUUCAACAUGCUUUGUGCGAGCAUGGAAGACCGGAUUUGAAGCCAAAGAAAUCGCUGAAAUGUUAUCACACCAAAUCUGAGGUAAAACAGGUAAUUGAAAACCAAUAUCAGCAAACAAUUUGCAAAUCCAAGUAAUUUCAGCUGCAGUAUGGGCUAAGGAUUUGUAUUCAGCUUCGGUGGAGGACCGAGCAACUGUAUGUUGCUUCUUAGCACUCAAGCUAAUGAGGGAAGGGCCAAGAAAUAUACAGAAACCUCCAAUAGACCGCCUGUCCCAAGAGCAGCCAGCCCAAUCUGCAUCCGAGUAAGCUUUAAGGGUGAAAGAAGAUGAGACCUUGGGAAACCACAAGCCAAGACCAAAAGAUCAUUUGAGAUAGCGUAAAAUACGUUUGACAGCUUGGAGAUGAGGGACCCGUGGAGAAUGCAUAAACUGACAAACAAGGUUCACAGCAAAGGAAAUAUCAGGUCUAGUCCAUGUAAGAUACUAAAGAGCCCCAACAAUAUUCCUAUAUUCAGUAGGAUCUUCAAGUAAAGAGCCAGUGUGAUCAAGUUUGGCAGAGCCAAAAGGAGUAAGACAAGGUUUUGCACCAUCCAUGUGAGUUCUUAUGAGCAAGUCCAAAAUAUAUUUGGGUUGAUGAAUGAAUACACCCGCAGGAGAGGGCUGGACUUCUAAGCCAAGAAAAUAAUGAAGAUCACCGAGAUCUUUGAUAGGAAACUGAGCAGUUAACUAAGAGAUAAUAGUGUUGUAGGCAAUAGAAGAGGGGCCAGUCACAAUAAUAUCAUCCACAUAGACGAGAACAAGAACUAAAACUGGUUGUUGAAGGACAAACAAAUUGUGAUCCGAUUGAGAAGCAUGGAAGCCAAUAGAGAACAAGGCAGAUUGAAGUUUUUCAAACCAAGCCUGUGGAGCCUGUCUCAAACCAUACAGAGACUUCUUGAAGUGACACACAUGAUUAGGAUGAGCUGGAUCAAUAAAACCUGAUGGUUGAGCCAUGAAUACAUUCUCUUUCAGAUUUCCAUGUAAGAACGCAUUACUAACAUCCAAUUGAUGUAAAAACCAGUUAGAUUGAGUUGCCAGAGUAAGUAAUAUCCGGAUGGUGACUGGUUUGGCCACUGGACAGAAAGUCUCACGAAAAUCAAUGCCUUCUUGCUGGUUAUACCCCUUUGCCACUAAUCUGGCCUUAUAACGAUCCACAGAGCCAUCAGGUUUACGUUUAAUUCGGAAAACCCACUUACAUCCCACUAAGUUUUGAGAAGUAAAAGGAGGAACAAGUUGCCAGGUUCCUGUAUGUUGCAGAGCAUUAAAUUCAUCUUGCAUUGCUGCCCUCCAAUAGGGAUACUUAGAUGCUUGAAGAUAGGUUGAAGGGACAUAUGCACUGUCUAAGGGAGUUGGUAAGGGAUGUUUAGUAGCUGUGUAUGCUUUAGGUUUAAAGAUGCCGGAUUUAGAUCUAGUUUGCAUAGGGUAAACAGAGAUAACAUGGGAAGGUAGAAAGGUAGGUGAAGAUAUGGGAGAAGUAGGGGCAAGGGAAGGUGGGGCAGAUAUAGGUUGGGUAGAUGGUGUGGCAGGUUGAGGAGCAUGACAUGGUGAAGAAUUAGGAGGAUAUAGAUGAGGAAAAACAAGGGAAAAAUGAGAGGAAGUAGUAGGAGAAGGACUAGGGGAAGAGGAUGUAAGUGUGUGGAAAGGAAAAGAUGUCUCAUCAAAAUAUACAUGUCGAGAUAUGUAGACUCGAUUGGUGAUGGGAUCUAAACAGCGAUACCCUUUAUGAAUCAAACUGUAUCCAAGAAACACACAAGGUUUACUUUUAGCAUCCAAUUUGGAAGUGAUAUAGGGUUUUAACCAAGGAUAGCAACUGCAACCAAAGACUCUGAGCUGAUUGUAAUCAGGAGGCUUUCGAAAGAACUGUUCCCAUGGAGAUGGUUUAGAAGGAGGAGGCAACCGAUUAAUAAGGUAGGUGGCAAUAAGAAAAGCUUCCACCCAAAAUUGAUGAGGCACUUUAGAAGUGAUCAAUAAAGUUCGAGCUGUUUCAACAACAUGUCGGUGCUUUAUUUCAGCACAACCGUUUUGUUGGGGAGUAUGCGGACAACUAAAAUGAUGUUGAAUACAAUAAGAAGCAAGAUGCUUAUAAAAAGUAGAACUAAGAAACUCACCCCCUGAGUCUGUGCGUAAAGUACCAAUCUUGAAGCCAGAAACAUUUUCAACCAAAGCUUGAAAUUGGACAAAAGUAACAAAGACAUCCGAUUUAUGUUUAAGAGUAUACAACCAAGUAUACUUGGUGAAGUCAUCAACAAAAAGAACAUAGAACUUGUAUCCACUAACAGAAAGUAAUGGUGCAGGUCCCCACACAUCAGCAUGAACAAGUUCCAGUAGUCUAGAUGUGAUACUAACGGAAGCAUGAAAUGGCAACCAAGCACACUUGCCUAAGACACAAUUGGAACAGAAGAGCUGAUCAACAGAAGUAGUAAUAGGCAAUGAAGACUGAGAAAUAACAGAUCUAAAUGUCUUGAGCGUUGGAUGUCCCAAGCGUUGAUGCCAAAGAUGAGGUGAUGUCCUUAUUGCAAUAGUAGCAAGAUAUCUGCUGGAAUGAUGAGGAAAUGCAGAGAAGGGAUAGAGACCAUGGCGAACAGGGCCUCUAAAAAGCAUCUUCCCCGUAGUAAGAUCCUUGACAUUGAAGUCAAAAGGAUUCAGAGUCAUAGAACACCAAUUAUCCACAGAAAACAUAUUGGCAGAAAGUAGAUCAUGUUUUAAUUGAGGAACAUGUAAAACAUUCUUUAAUUGAAACGUAGCAGAAGGAGUGUGAAUUAAAAAAGAGCCAGAGUGAUGGAUUUGCAAAUCUUGGCCAUCACCAAUAUAAACUUUGUCAGAGCUAUAAUAUGGUUGUGGAUUCUGCAAAUUCUGAAUGUUAUUGGUCAUGUGGGAACUUGCUCCAGAAUCGAUGAGCCAUGGAGGAGAGGAAUGAACAGGAGGAUUAGCAUACAUAACAAGCUUCGCAUGAGGAACACAACCUUGAAAAUUAGGAUUCAUACGAUGACUCCAAUCAAUGGCUUGGUGGCCUGGGUCUUCACAGAUCUGGCAAGGAGAAGGCUUAAAUUGUUGAAAAAACGAGGGCCGCCACGAGAACCACCACAAUUCUGAAAAUUAGAAGUGGAGCGAUUAAAUCGAUUACGAUUGUUGUUGGUGUUGUAAUUACGCUGCGUACGAUUAUUGUUGGUGUAAUUGCGCUGAUCACGAUUCUGAGGAUGAGCAGCGUAGGCUUGAGGUUUAUGGGGAAUAGAUGGUGUAGGGAGCAAAGGAGGAGCAGUGGGAGAUGAUGCUUGAAAGGCCUGAAAAGGUUCAGUAGAUGAGCCUUUUGCAUGCUGCUUCAGUGCAAGCGUCAUUUCUUUGCUAAGCAAGAAACCAUAGAGAUCAUCAACAGUCGUAUCAGCAAGACGAAAUUGGACCAAAUCAACAAACGAAUCAUAGUCAUCAGGAAGUCCAUUAAGAAUUAUCAUCAGCAGAUCAUGAUCAUCAACGGGUGCGCCAGCAGCCGCAAGAGCAUCGGUGACUUCCUUGAGACGCUGAAAGUACUCAGAGAUGGAAGAUGCGCCUUUAGUUAUCGAUUGAAGAGUUGACCGCAGUUGAUGAAUGUGAGAUCUCGAGACACCAUCAAAUCUUCGUUCAAGAUUCUGCCAUAAUUCCCGAGCAGAUUGAACACCGACGGUGAAAGGAAGCAAAUCCUCAGAGAGUGUAGAGUUAAUCCAGAUGAUGAUAUUCUGAUCAGUCUCAUACCAUAACUCGAAGGCAAGAUUAGGAAUCAAAUUUCCUGAAGAAUCACAGAGUAAUUGAGGCGGUGCAGGUUCAGAUCCAUCAACAAAUCCAGCAAGCUCGUACCGGCGAAAGAUCGGAUCAAAGAGAGAUUUCCAGACGAGAUAAUUGUGGCGUUUCAGCUUCGUCUGGACCAUGCUUCCAAUGUUCUGGAUUGUGAUGUGAUUAAUCAAGACCUGAGUAGAAGAAAGAAGGGGAAUAGCAUCCGGAGAAGAAGGAGAUUGCACAGGCACCAAAGAAGAAGAAGUAGCCGCCAUGGAUACAGAGGAUCAGAGAAGAAAAUAGUUGAAGAGAUCUGUUUGGUUGGGAAGAAAAUAGCGGAAGGGAUCUAUUUGGGUACUGAGAAAAUGAUUAAAGGAUUGAAGUCGGUAGACUUCUGGCGGAGGAUACCAUAUUGAGGAAAUGAAAAGACUUUUUCAUUAACCUGAAGAAUAACAUUACAGAGUAUAUAUAUACAACCAACUGUGGUAAAACUAAAGUUACCAAAAGUAAAAGAGAUUAUUACAAUAGUAACUUUUAACUAACUGUUAACAUCUUUUACAUUUUUAUAUACUCCAUUAUUCUCUUCAAGUUAAACCCGGCUCCAGGUCAACAAUUGUAAGUUCCACUCUGUAAUGGAUCCCGUAGGGAUUCAUAUAAUCAGGUAUGGGAUCGGUGCCAUCGUUGCCACCGAAGCAUGUGAAAAUGGUGUUAAUAUACCAAACACUACUGGCUGAAGUCAAGGAGAAGAUCCAUCUCUCACCAGAUCCACCGCACAGGUGGUCGGAAGCUUGUAGGCCUUCGAAUUGGAGUCGGUGUCAU
rnacentral:lncRNA from 1 species